rnacentral:lncRNA from 1 species
CCCUCUCGUUGCUAUGCAUCACCAUGAUCUUGCGUGUGCAUAGGAAAUUUUUUGAAAUUACUACGUUCCCCAACAUAUAUUACAUGGGUCGAGCUGGGAUGCUCAACGAUUAUUACAAGCGCGCCAAUAAUUAUACAUAAUGGCGGAUACAACGCAAUGGUGUGGUGGCAUACUACUAACACGAGAUUAAAGGGGUGGUGGACUAACACAAUGGAGAGUGGAUAGCACAGUUCGUGAACUGGCAUCUCAUCGAGCGUCGAGGUGAGGCUCAAUGAAUUUAUUUGGGUAGCGGAAGCGGAUAUAAUACAGUGACCAAAUCCAGGGUCGAACGUGACUGACUGGGACUCCUCUAGGCGUCGGACUCGCUAUCGAAUUCUUCAUCCAUGAGAUCGCCUUCGUCAGCAUCUGGCCAAAUCAACAAGCCAGGUGAGUACUUUGAAAGUACUCGCAAGACAGUUUGGACGUAAGAUAUAACAAAUGCAUGCAUGAAUGCGUCAUGAUUAAUUUGCCAAUGCAUAAUGAAAAUUUAGAGAGCAAGGUAAGUAAAAGGGAAUCAGCGGUAGUCCGCCUGAAAUCCCGACAGUAAAGUAAAUGAAACCAAUCGAGUGUCUGGAGUGACGCCACGAAAGGUAAACAAAUAAAUAAAAGGUGAAACAUGCCACAGUCGGGCGUCUAUGCGACACCACAUAAAGGGCUUAAAAGAAAUGCCGCAGUCGGGCGUCUGAGCGACACCACAUAAAGGGCUUAAAAGAAAUACCGCAGUCGGGCGUCUAAGCGACACCACAUAAAGGGCUUAAAAGGAAUGCCACAGUCGGGCGUCUAAGCGACACCAUAUAAAGGGCUUAAAAGAAAUGCCGCAGUCGGGCGUCUGAGCGACACCAGAUAAAGGGCUUAAAAGGAAUGCCGCAGUCGGGGCGUCUAAGCGACACCACAUAAAGAGCUUAAAAGAAAUGCCGCAGUCGGGCGUCUGAGCGACACCACAUAAAGGGCUUAUCCUGUCAAGGAAAUAAUUUCACAAUAAAUAUUCAAUUCUUAAAAAUAAACAGGUUAGUCCAUCCACAGGAUUAAACAUUUAACCAGACUUAGCGCUCAUGCGUUCCACCGGAUAAUCUGUCACCAAAACUGGCACUUGUCAGUUAGCACGGAACUUGGACAAGGAUAUGAUGAUAUGAAGAUUUAAGACUCUGCAGAGUUUGUACAAAAAUUUCCCACAGUUAACGGAUUUCCGUAGUCACGAGAACUAGUUCCGUUUACGGUAUUUCAGAAGAAAACACAGCUAACCAGUACACACCCAUCCAACCUCUCGAUGCCAGGAAUCACCCUAGACAUCGUCCAAGAAAAACUUUUGAGACGGGGAGAUCACAAUCUCGAAUAGCAUGGGAUCAAAAUUUAUAUACGCGCGCUCUAAGGGGUGCCCCCCUCUUGGUCCCAACCGGAAACACCCAUGCCCCCUGACCGGAUGACUGGCUUUAAUCCAGGGCCAUGGAACCAUCAUCCCGGCCUCUCCUUUUUGGUGUGUACCAGGAAAGCGGUUUGCAACUUACUAAGCCAUAUCCCUUGCGGAAAACAUGUGGUAGUACAGGGAGGGAAAUGGAUAGGAACCAACCGAUACGGGUUGGUGCUGAAGUUAACUUGCAUGGCAUAAGACUGGCAUGCUACAACACUGCCAUCUUACCCAUCCUUUUGCCAACACAUGGCCUUGCUUACUCACAUCCAACAACGUGUGGAUCAACCGAACUUACUUGCCCCGACAAUGCAUAAUAACGGUUCAUCGGUUUGCUCCACAACAUGCCAUGAAACUAACUAAAAUGCAAAACAUGCCAAGACACUCAUCAUAUCAAAAGUUCAAACAUGCUUGCCUGGUUCAGAGUAGUCGGAGUCUAGCUCGGUGAAGUUUACGGUCCCGUCACCUCCGUCGGUAUCUACGGUAAUAAGAGGAUACACGCACUAUCGUAAAUACCAAGAGGUGCAAAAAAACAAUUAUCCAAAUAAUUUUUAAAUAAAUCUGAUAAAAAACUAGACAAAAUUUUGAAGAGAACAGAAAAAGAAUCACUCAAAAAUAUGCUGCUGUUAAAAAGUUAUAAAGGUUUUUGUCUAGGGACCCAUCUGUAAUGAAACAGAAACUUCCCAGGGUUCUUUUUAUAAAAACAGAAAACGUUUCAGUCUCAACUACGCCGGCUCAGAGGAGAAGACGUAUUUUGCCCGAAGGCGUUUUCCAGAAAAUGAUUCAUUUAAAACGAGCUGAGAGGCUGACGGGCGGGUCCCACCCGUCAGGUUCAAAUUCAAAAGAGGCGGGUCGGGGCUCGUUGGCGCCCGAGGGCCGCGGCGGUCGCCGGCGGCGAUCCACGGCGAGGUAGGGAGAUCGGAUAGUACCUCCGUGCUCAGGGAGCCAUUCCGCGUCGGGUGGUGGUGGUGGUGGUCGCCGGGAAGCACCACGUUGACGGUGGCUCCUGCUCCGGCGGACGGCGGUUCGGGCGUGGAUGGAGCUCGCCGGAGAGGGCUGCAUGCAUGAAAUUUAGGCGGGGGUCAGGCCUCUGGUAGCUAGAGGAGGUGAUUGACGGAGUUUGGGCACCGGGGACGACCUCACCAAAGUGAAUCAAGCUGGAGGCCGAGGCGGAACGGGGUGGCCAGAGUUGGGGGAGGAGACCUCCUCGAGGUCCUCCCAGUGGCCUGGAGGGGCGUUGGUGGAGUGUAGGGGUGGUGCGUGCUCGAGGGAGAGCUCGGGGUCUCUUUUUAUAGGCGAUCUGAGGCGGUGGCCGAGAACGGCGUUCUCCGGUGAUGGAUUAUGGCGGUGCAGUGCUUGGUCGGGAGAGUUUAGGAGCUGAGCGCCGUCGUGGAGGUUCGUGGAGUCUUUUUAGGUGCCAACAGCGCCAGGUUUUGCUUGCUUGGGUGGAGUUUGACGGAACGGGACGGCGUGGGUCCGUCGGCGGCAGAGAGCACGCGCUGUGCGUGUCGCGCCAUGGCGACGGUGCUGCAUGCGUGCGCUGGCGCGGAGAUGGCCACGCGGAGCCAUCAGCGGGGUUGGGCGGCGCUGAACGGCGUUGAGCCGCCGUUCUGCUCCCUGUUGGCUGCCACGGCGGUUCAGCCGCCGCAAGACACGCCGGCGUGGGCAGGCCAGGGCGCCACCGACGCCAGGAAGGUGCCAAGCACGCGUGCGGGGCUCCGGACAAGCAGGCCAGGCGGCGAGCAACGUGCCAAGGGCACUGUGGGCAUGUGACUGAAGUUAACUGACGAAGUUCGACACUGAAAUCUGAACUUAACUGAAUUUGACUGAAACAGUGCAUGCAGGGUGUUCGACAGAAUGAUCCAGGCAUGUAGGGAUUUUUCCUUGAGCUGAUUUUUGGUGGAGUGGCUCUUCAUUGCUCCAGUAGGCUGCCUGAUUUUUGGUGGAAUUUUUGGGUAAGUGGAAAUAUUAAUUUCACCAAAUUUGGCAAAUCUGGUCCAAACUUGCAGGGAGUGUAAUUUGAAAAAUUUGAAAAGGAGAAGAGUGGAUCAAGAUGGUUCUGGGUUGUGGGUACAAAGGACUAUCCAGGAGAGUUGGUUUGAAGUCAAAACUCAAAUGCAAUGAUGUACUUACUUUGAAAAUCAAUCAGGUCCAAAAUAAUUGACAAAAAAUAUUUGAGAGGUGAAAUAAUCAAAAUAAAAUCCAAAACUUGCUUGGAUGAGUUGGGACAGGGAAUUUAGGUUGAUAACAAGGAGGAGAGGAGGUUUUGGAGUGGCUUUACCUCAUGGGCAAAAAUACAAGGUCAUGGGUGGUUAUCAAAAGAAUGAAAGUCCCAAAUUUUCAUAGAGUUUUUAUUAUAAAAAGAAAAAGAUUAAACUCCCAAGAAAAAAAAUAUUUGUUUGGGAAGGGAACCAACAGAGGAGAAAUUUUAAAUGACCAAACCCAAGGCUUGAAGAAGAGAACAGAAAUAACAAUCCUAGCCAAAGAAAAGGAUUUUUAAGAGGAUGGUCUAUUUGGAUGUUUUCUUUAAAAAGCCUUAUUUCACGAAAGAAAAAACAACAAGGUUUUUGCUAAAAACCAGAUAAAAAUUUUGGAGUGUCACAGGCCCUCCGGGCACCUUCGAUGCAGGUGGAAUGCUUGAUGACCUCAAGCCGUGGACAGGCCUCCACCAGCCGCCGCAGCAGCCCGAAGUAGCUCCCAGGCAGGGCCUCUCCGGGCCACAGCCGAACUAGGAAGCCCUUCAUGGCUUGUUCGGCCGCCUUGUGGAGCUCGACCAGCUGUUUCAGCUGAUCGCUCAGAGGCACAGGGUGUCCGGCCUCAGAAUACUGAGACCAGAACACAUGCUCCAUCGAGCUGCCUUCUUCAGCUCGGUAGAAUGCGGCGGCAUCGGAUAUGCUACGGGGAAGAUCUGCGAACGCCCCUGGAGAACUCCGGAUUCGGGUAAGUGACAAAUAUUUUACUUUUAUAUUCCUACUUUGCAUUAAGAAUGCCUUAUCCGCUGCUAUCUUUUUCAUCUCCUCCAGCUCUUGGAGGGCCUUUUGGGCUUCGGCCUUGGCACCCUUGGCGGUCUCAAGGGCCGACGCGAGCUCGGAUGCUUGCGCCUUUGAUUCAAGCUCCAAGCUCUCAUGCUUUUUCAUGAGAGCCUGCAGCUCUUGCUGCACCUCGCCAACCUGAGCCCCAAGUCUUUCUCGCUCGGCGCGCUCCUCGGCCAUCUUCUUUCCGGCCUCAGAUAGCGCCUGGUUGAGGGUCGCCACCUCAGUUGUGGCCCCUACAAUAAGCAGUACGAUCCUGUUAUUCUUUGCAAUCACGCCUCUGUAUAGGCACCCCUUUUCUUUGUAGGGUAUUUCUUACCUUCUUUCUCCUCGAGCUUCCGUUUGGCAAGACCGAGCUCUUGCUCGGUCCGCCCGAGGUCCUUUUUUAGGACAUCCACCUGUGCAGUCAGUGCGGCGGUGGAUAGCAGCGAAGCCUGCAUACGCAUAUUGACUCUUUAUUGUUAGACUCCUGCGAAAAUUAAAAGAUCCUCUAUUCUGCUUUUCUUUCCAAAUGCCAAACAGAGCAUCAGGGGCUACUGUCUAUGCAGUAAUAUUUUGACAUAUUUUUACUUACCUCGAAGCCUGUCAGAAGGCUAGCGCAAGCUUCAGUCAGUCCGCUCUUGGCGGACUGAACCCUUCGGUUCACCGUACUCAUAACAGUACGGUGUUCCUCGCCGAUGGAGGCGCCAUCAAGCACCUCCAACAGAUUGUCCAGCGCCUCCGGUUGGACGGAGGUCGCCGGCUCAGAAGGCUUGCUCCUCUUGGAAGGAGUUCGCCUACCGCGGACCAGGACUGUUGAAGAGUCCGGCGCGGCGUCCGGCACAAAGCCGGACUCGGAGCCCUGGGGGGCCCUGUCCCCUUUACUCCUGGGGUCCGGGAGGUCGCCUUUCGGCUCCUCCAGGACCACCUCCUCCUGACCUGGAGCUUGUUGCGACACCACUUCGGCGUCGUCUGCAUUGCAGGGGGAGACAGCGGGCGGAACUGAGUUCACAUCCGACGAAUCCAGGGAGCCGCUCGACGAAGUCAAGUUCGGCCCGGGGCGGACGGCAUAUUCACAUUCGACAUUAAGGAAAGCUGCCAAUAAAGGAACACCAUGAGUUACUCUGGUAUAUGAAUACUUACGAUUUCGCCGGACGCUUGGCCCUGUCCGGCCACUCCUCUCCGCCCUCUUCGGCAUCGUGGGAGCAGUCCGGCGGAGGGGUCUUCCUUUUCCUAGACCCCUCGGCCUCCCCAGAUGGGGCGGCCUUCUUCUUUUCUCCCCCCGCUGGGGAGGAGAGCUUUCUUCUUCCUUCUCCUCGUUUUCACGAGAGGAGGGCGCCUUGGACUCGUCAGACGACGAGUCCGACACCACCAAGUUACGGGUACUCUUUCGAGUCCUGGUGAUCUUCUUCUUCUCAACCUUCUUCUCCAGCACCACGUAAGGUGCCGGAGUCAGCAGCUUCACUAGGAGAGCUGGGCUGGGUCUUCGGGCUGGGGAGCCGGACAGUUUAUUGGUCCGGAUAUCGCCUGCCAAGCCUGUCAAAGGUAAGGGAGUUUAGAUCCCGCAUAGAGUUAAUCUAUGAAAAAGAGCUUAAUAAUCCUGUCAAAGGCAUAGAUAGCUUACCUCGCUAGCGUGAUGCUACGUGUUGUAUCCGUGGUCCUCGGAAGCGGAUGCGGGAGCCUCGGCGCCUUUGAUUAGCACCUUCCAGACGUCUUCAUACGAUGUUUCGAAGAGCCUGUUAAGGGUUCGGUGCUGCGUCGGGUCAAACUCCCACAAAUUGAAAUCCCGUUGUUGGCACGGGAGGAUCAGGCGAACGAGCAUGACCUGGACUAUAUUGACCAGCCGGAUUGGCUUGUUUACCAGGGACUGGAUGCAGGUCUUCAGUCCGGUCACCUCUUUCUCGUUGCCCCACGACAGGCCCGUCUCUUUCCAGGACAUAAGCCGCGUGGGGGGUCCGGAUCUGAACUCGGGGGCUGCAACCCAUUUCGGAUCGCGUGGCUCGGUGAUGUAAAACCACCCGGCUUGCCACCCCUUUAGGGUCUCCACAAAGGAGCCCUCGAACCAGAGGAUGUUGGCUAUCUUGCCAGCCAUAGCACCUCCGCACUCCGCUUGGCUGCCGCACACCACCUUGGGCUUGACGUUGAAAGUCUUGAGCCAAAGGCUGAAAUGGGGGCGGACGCGGAGGAAGGCCUCACACACGACGAUAAACGCCGAGAUGUUGUGGAUGAAGUUCGGGGCCAGAUCGUGGAAAUCUAGGCCAUAGUAGAACAUGAGUCCCCGGACGAAUGGGUGAAGUGGAAAACCCAGUCCACGGAGGAAGUGGGGAAGGAAAACUACCCUCUCAUGGGGCCUUGGGGUGGAGAGAAGUUGCCCCUUCUCAGGAAGCCGGUGCGGGAUGUCCUUGGACAGGUAUCCGGCUUUCCUUAGCUUUUUUACUUGAACCUCCGUAACGGAGGAGACCAUCCACUUGCCUCCCGCUUCGGACAUUGCUGGAGAAGGUUGAGGUGGGAAGAGCGGGCUUGGGUGCUGGAGCUUGAGUGCGCGAGAGAUGGAUUGGCAAAGGAGGAAGAAGGCGUAGGUGAAAAGGUGGAUCCUUAUCCCCUUAUAUGGGCAGAUGUGGUUAUGCGUCCCCACCUACCUAAUAAAACUCGCUUGCCUCCCAAGCACCGUGGUAAAUGGCGCGGUUGGGUUUCCCACGUCCGUAUUGAUGAGAAUCCCGUAAAAGGGGCACACGAUCUCUGCUUUGACAAGACGUGCCAAGGAAACCGCCUCGCUAAACAUGUUGAGGUGGAGAAGUGAAAACAAUUUGUGAAAACAGUUAUGACGCACUGCAGAAUACGUCAGCAGAUUUGAUUUGUGUUAAUAUUAUUCUCUCUAUGGAAAUAUGUGAAAACUUGUUUUGCAGAGCCGGACACUAUUUUUGGUGUUUAUAAUCUUCUAUGAAGAACUUGGAGGAGGAACCCGCCUUGCAAUGCUGAAGGAAAUCUGCGUGCCGGACUCGUCGUCAUUGAAGCCUGGUUCAGGGGCUACUGAGGGAGUCCUGGAUUAGGGGGUGUUCGGGUAGCCAAACUAUACCUUCGCCGGACUCCAGGACCAUGAAGAUACAAGAUUGAAGACUUCGUCCCGUGUCUGGAUGGGACCUUCCUUGGCGUGGAAGGCAAGCUUGGCGAUGUGGAUAUUCAAGAUCUCCUACCAUUGUAACCGACUCUAUGUAACCCUAACCCUAUCCGGUGUCUAUGUAAACCGGAGGGUUCUAGUCCGUAGGACAACUUCAUUAUACACAAUCAUACCAUAGGCUAGCUUCUAGGGUUUAGCCUCCUUGAUCUCGUGGUAGAUCUACUCUUGUACUACCCAUAUCAUCAAUAUUAAUCAAGCAGGAGUAGGGUUUUACCUCCAUCGAGAGGGCCCGAACCUGGGUAAAACAAAGUGUCCCUUGUCUUCUGUUACCAUCCGACCUUGACGCACAGUUCGGGACCCCCUACCCGAGAUCUGCCGGUUUUGACACCGACAACCUACUUAAUUGCUAUGCUAAGCACCUGCUGCACACCUAAUUUAUGAACGGGAAGUUUACUGCUAAGGGGCAAGCCCUUCCUUAGUUGAAUAUAUCUGUUGUGCUGCAGUGGGCAUGUAUACAAAUGGAGUCUGUUGAACUGUGAUUUGGUGGAAACUGGCUCAACGCAUCUGGUGCGUGGCCUAUCAUUAUAUAUAUGGUACCAAGGGGUACAAUACAGGUACAAAUACAGUUGUGGUACAAUAUACAGUCUAACACCCUCCCUCAAUCUUAACUGUGGCCUGAGGUACUCAGUAAGUUAAGAUUGCGUCUACAACCUAUGAACAAAGGAAGAGACAAGGGUUUGGUGAAGAUAUCAGCAAGUUGAUCGUUGGAGGAGAUGAACUUGAUCUGCAGGAACUUCUGUGCAACAUGUUCUCUCACAAAAUGAUAAUCAACUUCGAUGUGUUUCAUUCGGGCAUGAAAUACCGGAUUCAAUGAGAGGUAUGUGGCACCGAUGCUGUCACACCAAAGGACAGGAGGCUGAUUGUGAGAGAUCUUCAAUUCUCGAAGAAGGGACUGGACCCAAAUAAGCUCAGCAGUGGCAUCAGCAACCGCCUUGUACUCAGCUUCAGUGCUACUCUGAGAAACUGUAGCCUGUUUCCGAGCACUCCAGGCGAUCAGAUUAGGACCAAAGUAGACGGCAUAUCCCCCCGUGGAUCGCCUGUCAUCUGGGUUACCAGCCCAGUCCGCAUCACCGAAGGCCGAGAGCACACUAGAAGGCGCCGGCCUGAGAUGAAGUCCGUAAGAGGCAGUGGGGCGAACAUAACGCAGAAUACGUUUGACAGCUGUCAAGUGAGGCUCUCGAGGAGCAUGAAGGUACUGGCAGACACGGUUAACUGCAUAUGAAAUAUCAGGUCGUGUGAUGGUGAGGUACUGAACAGCCCCAACAAGGCUUCGAUACUCGGUGGCAUCAUCAGCAGAGAGUAGAUUCCCAUCAGGAGCAUAAAUAGGCACAGUGGAGGACAUCGGAGUAGUAGCAGCUUUGCACUCCAACAUGCCAGCACGCCGCAGGAGAUCCUGAGAGUACUUCUGCUGAGAAAGAGCAAGACCAUCAUGUGGAUAUGUGACCUCCAGACCAAGAAAGUAAUGAAGUUUGCCCAGAUCCUCGACAGCAAAAUCAGAACUGAGAGCCAGAACCAAACGACCAGUCGCCGCAACAGAGGAACUGACAAGAAUGAUAUCAUCAAGAUAGACCAGAAUGUACAUUGUGACUUCCGGUCGUUGAAGAAUAAACAGUGAAGUAUCCGCAGUGGAGGGCACAAACCCACGAGCACGAAGCGCAGAUCCCAGCCGAGCAUGCCAAGCGCGAGGAGCCUGUUUGAGACCAUAGAGUGCUUUCACCAAACGACAAAGAUGCUGAGGACGAUCAGGGUCAGAAUACCCAGGGGGCUGACGCAUGUAGACCUCCUCCUGAAGAACACCAUGAAGAAAUGCAUUCUGAACAUCCAAUUGACAAAGAGACCAACCUCGGGUGACAGCAAGUGACAAGAGCAGUCGAAUAGUGGUUGGCUUAACAAUAGGACUGAAGGUAUCCUCGUAGUCAAGACCAUACCGUUGCUUGAAGCCCUUAGCAACCAGCCGAGCCUUGUACCGCUCAAUAGAACCAUCUUCGUGUCGUUUGACCUUGAAGACCCAUUUGGAAUCAAUGACGUUGAUACCUGGACGGGGAGAGACCAGCUGCCAGGUGCCAUUCUGACGAAGAGCCUGAAUCUCAAGGUCCAUAGCAGCACGCUAGUGAGGAAUACUCAUCGCUGCUUGAUAGUGUAGAGGUUUCGCAGUAGGAUCUGACUGCGCUUGAGCCAAGCAGGCAACAAUCCAUGCAACAGUGCCAUCAGUGUACUUCUUGGGCCGGUGAAUACCACUCCGGCUACGUGUAUGCGGCCGAAGAACCACAGGAGCUGGAGGCGGGUCCGCCGCUACCUCAUGAGGAGAGGCAGGCGACGGUGCAGGAGACGGGCUCCCGAGCAGCGAGGCCGCAUGUGGGGCAGGCACGGGCGAGUCCGGCCCAGGCAAGGAAGCUGACGCGGGCUCAGGCGAGGCGGGCUCAGGCGAGGCCGGCCCAGGUGGGGCAGGCGGGGGCGAUGCAGGCGGUGGAGACCGCUCAAGCGAGGCGGGAAGCAGGAAAGGCCCACUGCCAGCCGGCCGCGCGGGCAACGAAGCGGCUGAGCCAGGCGGAGCCGAGGAGGCGGCCUCAGGGCGCUCGCCCGCUGCAUGUCCCAUGCAGCGAUCGACGACGCAGUCAUCAGAAGCAGGUGCGGGCGACGCCGGUUCGUCAAGUAGAUCGAGACGAGCGCCACAUCUGAUACCUGCACCAUGGUUAGGCAAUAAUACAGGCGAAUAUGCAACAUCCUCAAGUUGAUCAGGCAAAAUAAAGGAGCUAUGAGUGGAUGAUGGCAACGAUGAGGAUGAUGGCAGAUUCAAAAAUGGAAACAGCCUUUCGUCAAACAUGACAUCAUGAGAAAUAUAGACUCUAUUUGUUGGAACAUGGAGACAUUUGUAGCCUUUGUGAAGAGCACUAUACCCAAGGAAGACACAUUUUUAGAGCGAAACUCAAGCUUGCGGCUGUUAUAGGGCCGAAGGUGCGGCCAACAAGCACAGCCAAAAACCUUGAGAAAAGUAUAGUAAGGGAGUUCAUUAAACAGCAGUCCAAGUGGUGUCUUCAUUUUUAAUACUCGAGUUGGAGUUCGAUUGAUCAAGAAACAAACAGUGGUAAAAGCAUCACUCCAAACCCGGAAGGGCACAGAGGCAUGAGCAAGAAGUGUAAGACCAACUUCAACAAUGUGACGGUGCUUGCGCUCAACGGCACCAUUUUGCUGAUGUGUAUGUGGGCAUGAAACACGAUGAGAUAUCCCAAGAUUAUUAAAGAAAGAGUUGAGGUUGCGGUAUUCGCCCCCCAAUCCGACUGAACAUGAAUGAUCUUAUGCUUGAGGAGUCUCUCAACAUGCAAUUGAAAUUGUAAGAACACAUGAAACACAUCAGCUUCGCUUUUUAGGAGAUAAAGCCACGUAAAGCGACUGUACGGAUCAAUGAAGCUGACAUAAUAUUUAUGACCACUGACAGAGGUUUGGGAAGGGCCCCAUACAUCCCAAAACACAAGCUCUAAUGGGGUAGUAACAACUCGAGAUGAAGACACAAACGAUAAUAGAUGACUCUUUCCCUCUUGACAAGCAUCACAAACUGCUAAAGGUUUAUUACUAGAUGACGUAGGGAUCUCAUGUCUAUGCAAAACAUGGCUAACUAUGGGAGACGCAGGAUGCCCAAGCCGGGCAUGCCAAUGAGACACCGACGUGCGAACAACGCUGAAGACCUCCGGAAGGGACGGCGCCUCCAAUGCAUACAGGCCCUGAUGGAUGCGACCUCUUAAGCAGAACCUCCCGUGUGGCUCGAUCCUUAACCAAGAGAUGAAAUGGGUGAAAUUCACAAAACACAUCAUUAUCAUAAGUAAACUUACGAACAGAUAGUAAUGGACGAGUGACAAGUGGGACGCGAAGGACAUUACGAAGGCGAAGGCGACGAGAGGAACUAGACAGAAGGGAGGCCUGACCAACAUGAGUAAUGGGCAUACCUGAACCAUCAGCGGUGCGGACCUUGUCACGGCCGCGGUAGGGCUCCAGCGUCUGGAGUCGAGAAGCCUCAUUGGUCAGGUGCUCCGUGGCACCCGUGUCAAGGUACCAGGCGGGAUCGAUCGGAUACGACGGCGUGUACCUGCCUGCGCCGGGGUGGGUACCGCCAGGGUAGCCGACCGAACUCUGUUCGGCGAUGGCAGCUUGCUUCUCGUUACCGCGCCCGUCAUUGCCGAUGCCAAGAAAAUCCCUCUUGAAGCGACGGUGGCUGCGAGAGGCAUAGUGCCCGUGGAUGCCACACAGCUGGCAGUCGACGUUGGGGCGGCCGCUGCGAUCGGUGGUCACAGGAGGGCCACGGGACGGCGGGGAUGGAGGGGGCUGGCGGCCACCACCACCCAUGGGCGGGCCAGUAGGAGAAUGAGGUGGACGAUGUCCACGAGCACCACGGUAGGCUGCAAGGGCCUGAGGGUCAUUCAGCUGCAUCUCGGCACGGCGGGCGUCAAAACGGUGCUCGGUGGAGAGGAGGCGCGCAUACAUGUCCUAGGAAGACAGGGGCGUCUCACGACCCCGCACCGCCUCAACCAGGUUGUCGUAGUCCUGAUCGAGGCCCGAAGAACGAAGUCAGUGAACUCCGUAUCACGAAGCGGCUCCCCGAUAGCGGACAGGGUGUCGGCGAUCGUCUUGAUCUUGUUGAAGUAGACGUGCGCGGAGGAGUCGAGCUUCUUGCACUCGACGAGUUGUUGACGAAGAGCCAACGCGCGAGCCGAGGAGUGGGCCGAGAAGCUGUCCGCCGUCGUCGCCCAGACGUCAAGGGAUGUGGCGGCGAACACCACCAGCCCAGCAACUCCUUCCAUCAGGGAGGACUGGAGCGCGGACAGGAUAGCUUGGUCCUGUGCGACCCAGGCGCGAUACGCCGGGUUUUCGGCCGAAACUCGGGCGCCGGUGGCCGUGACCGCAGGGAUGAGGCGGGGCGGACACGGGUGGCUCCCGUCGACGUAGCCUUCGAGAUGGCGGCUGCGAAGAAGCGGUAGGAUCUGCGCCCGCCAAUACAGGUAAUUAUCCUGCGUGAGGCGCACCGAGAUGAGGUGCGUGAGCUGAUAGGACCAUUGCCCGGGCCGUUGACCGGGGAUCCAACAGGGGCAACGACAUCAGCCGCGGUGGAGAUGAUGGGUGCCUUGGACACGGCCAAGUGGGGGCCGAGGAACGGUGAGGCCGGGGGCGCCGAUGGGGCCGGGGGCGGCACCGCGCUGAACGGUACCAGCGACGCCGACGCGUAGGACGGCAGCGGAGGGAAGAACCCUGAAGCGAACUGCGACGAGCCGAGGUAUAGAGGGCGCGAGGUGGUGGACGUGGCCAUCUGGCUCGUGGUGCUGGCGGCGAGGAUCGCUGCAAGCUGGGGCGGGAUGAAGGGCGGCACCGCGGUUGAUGGUGCGGAGGUGGGCAGGGCAGCGGAGAAGGCCGAGGGAGCGCGAGAGGAACUCAUGGCGAUGGCGAUCUUGGCGGCGGCGCGGCAACCUAGGAGGUAGCAGCGGCGGCCAAGGACAGGAGGCGGCGGCUAGGGUUGUGGAAAACCUAGUCUGAUACCAUGUUGAAUUGUGAUUUGGUGGAAACUGGCUCAACACAUCUGGUGCGUGGCCUAUCAUUAUGUAUAUGGUACCAAGGGGUACAAUAUAGGUACAAAUACAGUUGUGGUACAAUAUGCAGUCUAACAGAGUCAAAGACUGUUGUUAGUCUGUCAUAUAUUGAACGCAAAAAAAAAAAGUCUGUCAUAUAUUGGCACCAAAUUGCAAACAGGCCCUGAGCAGAGGGAUGCGGCGUUGGCCUUGAGCGGCUCGACGAACGCGACCAGCGGCCGUGCGUGCUGCUGGACGGUGCCGUUGUCCAAGAAGACGAACACCCCGAUGACGUGACGACUGCUCCCAUGCUUGCGGCUGCUGUCAUAUCGUGGUACUUCACAGCACAUGUCUCGGGCUACUUCCACGGCUAGAGCAACAACACUACACUAGUUACAUCAGAAGGUAGGUUCAGAAUUACAGGGUGAGGAGGGAGUUUCGUCUUCAGGUUCUGCUCAUCGCGUCCAGCUCGGCCCCGUGAACUUGACGUUCGGUCCAAGGGUAGGGCUGGCAAUGGUACCACCGUCAUAAAUUUUGUUCUAGUAGAAUUAAUUGAUGUUGAAUCACUCAUGAACAUUCCUGGCAUCGACCUCACAAGCAUACAUACAGAUAUAUCAUUAUCACUACGUACGGCUCGUUCAUCGCCUUUGCAAGUAGGCAACAUGCAUGAUGCAUUUUUUUUUAGAGAAGGGGGAUUCCCCGGCCUCUGCAUCAGAUCGAUGCAUACGGCCUCUCUUAUUAAACAAGUAAACAAGGUCUGAACAAUGAUCUUACAAAAAUGGAACAAAAGCAGCAUCUAGCUCACAUAGAGCAUCAACUGCAAAGCAGAAACGAGAAAAGCCACAACCGGCUGGCAUAAGAGCAGAUAGGUAAACUAAAUGCCUAUCCUAUUACAUGAUCGCCAUCCAAACCGGUUGAAGAUAUCCCGCGCUACCGUCUCCCACCGGACAGAUCCAGUAACCAAACGCUCACUGGCCUCCGUCGGAGUGAGUAAGGACCACGUACGGAUCAGCGUUGUAGCUCGGAAUAACACCUGCAAAAAAUGAGUAUUUGUUGUCCUGUUAAAAACCAAAUCAUUUCUGCAAUUUCAAAUUGCCCAUAAUAACGCACAUACUCCUACACGAAUGUGUCUGGCUGUUUCGGACUCAAUCCCAACAAGCCACGCCCCAAAUAACGUGUUGACCGAUCUCGGAGGAGUAAUAUUAAAGGCAAUUUGCACGGUGCGCCACAACCCUUGUGCCAACGGGUAGUCAAAAAAUAAAUGCUUGAUAGUCUCAUCCCGAUGACAGAAACUACACCUAGUAGAUCCUGUCCAGUUGCGCUUAACUAGAUUGUCCUUUGUAAGAAUAACUUGUUUAUGCACAAACCACAUAAACACUUUAAUCUUCAAAGGAACCUUAACUUUCCAAACCACAGAUGAAUUAAUAAUAUCAAUAUACAUCGAUUUUACCGUGAACACCCCAGUUCUAGUUAGUUUCCAACACAACUGGUCGGGCUGAGGAUUUAGCUGAACAUCCAUCAGCCUACGGACCAAGUGAAGCCAUGCUUCCCAUCGAGGUCCAACAAGCACUCUCCUAAACUGUAUGUUUAGAGGGAUAGACUGCAUCACCGUGGCAACAAGAGCGUCCCUACGCUGAACAAUACGAUAUAGUGUCGGAUAUUGUGUAGCCAAAGGCGCAUCACCCAGCCACGUAUCCUCCCAGAAUCGCGUAUCAUCUCCAUUACCAACAAUACAUCUCGUUCUGUUAAAGAAAGCGGCUUUAACCCUCAUGAGCCCUUUCCAGAACGGCGGAUCUGCAGGUCUCAGAGUGACCUGGGAUAAAGUCUUUGAGUGCAGAUAUUUACUACGUAAAAUCUGCGCCCAAGUUGCCUCUGUCUUAGAAGACAACUUAAAUAGCCACUUACUAAGCAGGCAUCUGUUUUUGACUUCAAGAUUUUCAAUACCAAGUCCCCCUUGGUCCUUUGGUCUGCAGAUAAUAUCCCAUUUGGCCAAUCUGUACUUCCUCUUAGACUCAUCACUCUGCCAAAAGAAGCGAGAACGAUAGAAGUCUAGCCUUUUCCUCACCCCAACUGGGACCUCGAAGAAAGAUAAGAGAAACAUAGGUAAACUCGUGAGCACCGAGUUAAUCAGAAUCAACUGGCCUCCAUAAGACAUGAGUUUUCCUUUCCAACAACUUAGUUUCUUCUCAAAUCGAUCCUCGAUACACUUCCACUCACCAUUUGUUAGCUUACGAUGGUGUAUGGGAAUACCAAGAUACGUGAAAGGUAGAGUCCCAAUUUCACACCCAAACAAUUGUGUAUAUGCUUCUUGUUCAUCUUUGGCUCUACCAAAGCAGAACAACUCGCUUUUAUGGAAAUUAAUCUUCAGCCCAGACAAUUGUUCGAAAAGGCAUAACACUAGCUUCAUGUUCCUCGCUUUGGCCAAAUCGUGUUCCAUAAAAAUGAUUGUAUCAUCAGCGUAUUGCAGAAUGGACAAACCACCAUCAACCAGAUGAGGGACCAAUCCCUCCACCUGACCGGCCUCUUUGGCCCUCCCAAUCAGGAUCGCUAACAUAUCAACCACAAUAUUGAACAGAAUAGGCGACAUAGGGUCUCCCUGUCUCAGACCCUUGUGCGUUUGGAAAUAAUGACCUAUGUCAUCAUUAACUUUAAUGCCAACACUGCCUUUUUGCGUGAAUGUUUCCACUUGAUGUCGCCAGCGCUCAUCAAAUCCCUUCAUUCGUAAAGCUUGCUGGAGGAACGGCCAUUUGACUUUAUCAUAAGCCUUCUCGAAAUCCACUUUGAAAAUAACACCAUCUAGUUUUUUCGUAUGAAUUUCAUGAAGCGUUUCAUGAAGGACCACAACCCCUUCGAGGAUGUUCCUAUCCGGCAUGAAAGCCGUUUGAGAAGGUUGUACUACAGCGUGCGCUAUCUGUGUAAGCCUGAUCGUCCCAACCUUGGUAAAGAUUUUGAAACUGACGUUGAGAAGGCAGAUAGGCCAAAAUUGCUCAAUUCUCACGGCAUCUGUUUUCUUAGGCAACAAAGUUAUCGUUCCAAAAUUAAGUUGGAACAGCUGCAAAUAUCCCAAGAACAAAUCAUGGAACAUCGGCAUCAGGUCCCCUUUGAUAAUAUGCCAACACUUCUUGUAAAACUCAGCAGGGAAACCAUCCGGCCCCGGUGCCUUAUUACACUUCAUCUUGGCAAUAGCCUCGAAAACUUCCUUUUCCGAGAAAGGGGCAGUUAAUACAUCAUUCUCCACAGUAGUAAGUUGAGGGAUAUCGCUAACCCUAGACUCAUCCAGGGAUACACAGCUCUCCUCUGGUGGUCCGAACAACCGUUUGUAGUACUCAGUAAUGUAGAGCUUCAGGUUAUCCUGGCCGACUAUUGUACCCUCAUCUUGUUCUAGCUGGAAGAUCCUCUUCUUCCGGUGCUUGCCAUUGGCAAUCAUGUGGAAGAACUGGGUGUUCGCAUCCCCCUGGACAACUUUUCUCACCUUUGCCCGCAAUGCCCACUUUAAUUCUUCUUCACGGAGCAAUUCCUUCAGCCUCAUCUCAGCCUCAUGCUUAAUAUGAAGCUCGGUGGGUAACAGAAACAUGCAUGAUGCAUAUCCGAGACUACAUGCCAAUACCUACAUAUGUAUUUAUUCCCCUUGUUAGCAUCUCCAGCAGCUACACAAUAAAUCUUCCUCUAUUUUUAUUGUUUCUCAUGGUGUGUUGUAGCAAAUUUCAAAUAUAUCUACCCCAAUAUACUUCUCUGUUUGUGAAUGUAUUUAUCUGCAUGAACUUCUGUUGUGCAUGUGAAUGGUCGUUUUCUUGUUCUUAACCUCUAGCUUUAGCCUAGAAUUUAAGAUCUUGCAACCUUGUGUUUUCGACGAUACAUGAAUGGUUAUAUUCUUGUUCUCAAUUUCUACCUCCAGCCUAGAACUUAUCUUGUUUGGGUGGACCUGGAAUGCAAGACUAUCUAACAAAUGGGCCACAUCUGUUGGUGGGUCAUUUUUAUUUUANNNNNNNNNNNNNNNNNNNNNNNNNNNNNNNNNNNNNNNNNNNNNNNNNNNNNNNNNNNNNNNNNNNNNNNNNNNNNNNNNNNNNNNNNNNNNNNNNNNNNNNNNNNNNNNNNNNNNNNNNNNNNNNNNNNNNNNNNNNNNNNNNNNNNNNNNNNNNNNNNNNNNNNNNNNNNNNNNNNNNNNNNNNNNNNNNNNNNNNNNNNNNNNNNNNNNNNNNNNNNNNNNNNNNNNNNNNNNNNNNNNNNNNNNNNNNNNNNNNNNNNNNCUCCCCCCGGGACGGUGCCGAACAAGGAGCCGGCAAGGCACAGGCGGAUGCGGCGACGCCUGACCCCUACCCCUAUGAUGGUGGUUGGCCGACUGCUGGCUCGGGAGGCUACCAGUGUGGCACGUCCAGGGGCAGGGGCGGCAACGGGGGUUUGGGGGCACUGUGGCCGGCUCAGGCUGCAGCCCUUGCUGUGCGCCCGGGUGCAGGGGACCGGUGCAGCGGCACCGGUGUCUGGCCGACGACGGGGUGGAAAGGUGGAGCGGCGGCCCGACCGCACCUGACCGGCGACGCGGAGGGAAAGUGACGUGGAGGCCCAACUGCGCUCGAUCGGCAAUGGGGAAGGAAGGUGAUCCGCGAACGUAAUGUCGAGGACAGGGGAAGGUCAAUCUUCCCCUCUAUAUAUGAGGAAGUUGGGGCGUUUUUAGGCUCAAAUUCAAAAGAUCAUUUGGUUUACGGAAACUGUUGUGUCAACUUCUCUAUAUAUCGAUUUUUUUUGGGACAGGAAAGCUGCUGGAUAUGCCGUUAAGAUGUAAUCUAGUAUUGACAAGCGCCACGUACCCAACCUACUUGUGUUGUUCCAAAUUUAGUGUGGGCAAUUGACAAGCUAACUACCUACUCGGCUACUCAGUUUGUUCCAAAUUUAGUGUCUCUCUCAUUUACCUAACGGUGAGUUCAUGUCCAAUAUGCAACCAUACACGCACGUACACGCGCGGUAGCAUAUGUAUGCGUGCUAUAUUCGGAGGGAGUGCUCCAAGUCUUUAACACAAUUGCAUGCACUCUCGGUAGGUAAUCGAUCUAUUCCUACUAAGCUUGUGACCCAACUUGGAAGCUAUUAGCGACACUUUCUGAUCCAUCUUCUAGUUAGCGCAAUAAAUAGAUGCAAGCUUCAUGAUUUCCUUCUAAUUGUCUGGCAUGCACAUUUGCUCCUACUCUCUCCGCCCACCGAUUAAAAGACAUAAGAGAGUAUCUCACCAACGUGCAUUUCUUUUUCAGAAAACAUUCAAUCUAUUCUUCUUCAAUCAUGAUAGGACAAUGAACACCAGAAAUAAUAAAAAUUGCAUCUAGAAUCAUAGACCAUCUAGCGAUUACUACAAACACUGAAGUGAGCCGAAGUCGCGCCGCCGUCAUUGCCCUUCGCUCACUGGAGCCGGACAAAACUUGUUGUAGUAGACAGUCAGGAACUCGUAUAUAAAGAAGACAUAAAUCAAAGCGCACGACCGAAAGAUACAAGGUACUACUAGUGAGGCAACCCUCCCACAAAGCAGACACCUAAAUAACUGGACAACACAAACGCAUGCGACUAUGUUACCGGAAAGAGUACAUGAAGGACCGAAGACAACACCACACCACGACAUAGGGCACCUAAGCUCCACGACUUUACUCGGGUGGAUGACGCAAAGCGUCGAAAUAGACAAAGGUUUUCACCCGGAACUCUGGCACAAAGAGGAGAACCCAAAAGACGGAUGGUUGAAUUGUGCUGAACUUUUGGUGAUGUUUAUAUGUGAAUUAUGUCUGUUUGAUAUCAGUUUAUUUGUUCGUUUCCUGCCAAAUAUGUCCAUUUGAUGAUCUACACAGUACGAGUUUAUGUUGCAUUAGGAUGGAUAUUGGGUGCCGGAUAUGAGAUACGUGGCUGUGGACGCGCCGAUUUAAGGAUUGCCCGGUCACUGUCCGCGGGCGCAUAUAGGGUGACGGAUUUGGCAGGUCCGGCCAUAGAUGCUCUUAGUAUCCCACUGCCAUGUGAAGUUACAUUUAUAUCCUUCCGGUAGUUCUCAUAGUGCUAUCAUAUAUAGGGUUGUACAUAUACAUGUACUAUUUGCAAAUGAUGCCUCCCAUAUAUAUGCUUGCACACCUGACAGAUACCUGUAAAGCUAGCUAGUUCAACAGUACCAUUUGUACGUCUAUUCAAGGUAGCUGCUUCAUGGUACUUAUCCUCGAGCUUAAUCCAUCGAUCGACUGAGCAGCCGAUCAACAACCUGCGAGGCCCGCCGAUAUGUUAUCCUGAUCAAUCCGUCUUCUGCAUCUCUCACGCAUGUAUCCAACGCGACUAUGAUUAGCGCAACAGCUAUACUAAAUUGCCUGAAUUUCAAAUUUGGAUAUCUGGAAUCCGAACGCCAGGGCGAGCAUAGAGAGGCGUGGGGAUACCCGCGAGGCCUUGGACCAUGUGAACCAUGCAGCAGCGACGUGGCAGGUGGAGGGGAGUAUGAAGGUUGACUCAUACAGGUAGCGGUGCUGGUCCUUCCGGAGAAGUCUGGUAUCCAGAGGAGGUUUAGAGGGAUGGCCGAGCACAGCGGCAGCAUGUCACUGGGAUAAGGCUAGGGGAUGGUGGGGCAGUCAGGCGCAUGCGGGAGCGCUGCCAACUGCGGGUGACAGCAGGAGGCGGCCCCGAGGAAGAAAAAGACCGGAGGUUGAAGAAAGAAGACGAGCCCGUCCAAUUUCUAUCCAACGGCUGAAAAAACUGACAUGCCCCACAUCGUUUUUCAGUCAACUUAUCUAUAUUUUUUUAUAUUUAUAUAAAUAGCUAGCCCCACUAACAUAGUUUGCUCAACAUGUAAACAUGCCAUGUCAGCAUGGAAUAUGCACGAGAAAAUGCCCACCACAACAUGUAACUAUGCAUAGAAAAAAUUCCCUAGCAUGCACACAUGCAUGAAAAUUUUCAUUCUAUUGCACUAUUCAUAAUUAUAUAAUUUUACUCAUAUAUAUUAUUACUCUAAAUAUAUUAAUUUUCCACACAAUCAGAUAUUAUUAAAAUAUAUUGCAAAAUAUUCCCGCAACAAUGUGUGAGCUACUAGUAUCUUGUAUAGACAAACCCCACUGCAAGUUAUUAUUCAUCACUUUCCUAGCAUAUGCUUCUACACCAUCCAAAUUUAUAGUCGUUGAAUUUGCUAGCUUGGUCAAGUAACAUCCAUCUGUGAUCUGAAUAUGAGAAUUUCUCUACCUUGCAACAUGCAUAAUGGACUUUAAAUGCCACCACAUUUAAUUUAUGACAUGUUCAACUUUUUAUUUAUUUAUUUUGCUUUUUUGUAUCUACAGAAAUCCUCGCAUAGUUUAAAUCAUAGAGUUAAAUUUAUCUUGUUUGCAAUAUUUAGAAAUCAAUUCUAUAAUUCCGCGGCAUCGUGGGCGGGUGUCGUCUACUUAACUAGUUGUAGUCUUGUAGAUGCAUCCUCGAUGUAGUAUGACAUUGAUUUCACCACAUGCAAGAGAACGAUGGAACAGCUAAUGGAACAAGGAUGGGUGUACCGGACAGCGCAGUUGUUCAAUAUAUGGGAGAUUCAGGCAGCGGUCCUCUUGAGCUUCGCAGCACAUCUUGUCCUAGUAACACUCGCCGGUGCCCGUCGGCGCAAGGCCUCCGGCGUGCGGAUGCUCCUCCUCUGGCUGGCGUACCAGCUGGGCAACUUGGUCGCGCCCUACGCCCUCACCAACCUGUCCCUCUGCGACCUAUGUGCUGACGGUGGCGUCACGGAUCGGAGGAGCCACCUAUGUGCUAGUGCAAGCAUUUGUACAUCGGCGGCGGUGACGGCGGGGCUUUGAUCCGGGCGUCCAUCAUCAUCUUCGCCGUGGGUGCUACCAAGUACGCUGAGAGGGCAUUUGCGCUAUGGCGAGGGGACUUGGCCAACAUCCGGAGCUCGAGCAAGAAGAUGGGUCAACUGAGUAGAUUCAUCACUAGCGAUCCGAAGUACAGGAUGGGAGGGUUGUCUUGACGAUGAGGAUGCGCUGAUGGUCGCGCACGCCAUGCUCCCGCUCUGCAGGCGUGCCAUGGCUGAUACUUCGGUCCGCGCGGACGGUGAUACCCUCCAUGUAAGCUAGGAAAUAUUUGCCACCAGCUGGGAUAACACGUGCAAGGUAGUGGAGAUGGAGCUCUCGCUCAUGUACGACAUUCUCUACACCAAGGCGGCCGUUGUCCACACCUGGCAUGGUUACGGCAUCCGUGUCAUGUCGCUGGCAGCCAUUGCUGCCACGACGGUGCUGUUUGGAGUCUACUACAGCAAAGAAGGCCAGGGCAAACCGGACGUGAUGAUCACCUAUGUUAGGAAUAAUCUUGUUCGUAUGAUUAGAUUAUUAGGUCGAGUUGGAGUCUUAAGUAGACUAGGUUUAGGUUAAUCGUGAUCAACGUAGCCGUGUAAUUAGCUAGGAUGUUCUACUAGUACAAGGCUUGCACGUCCGUGUGUUAAAUCGUCUUACGACUCAGGGCCGGACUAGGUUAGCUUGUACGUGUAGGUUUAGGUCUGCUUUGAGUCUGUUUGUGCUGGCCGGUUAUGCAUAUAAUUAUGCAUAGUCCUGCGUGAGUUUGUAACAUCGGUGCGAGAAAACAGAAAAUAAAAAGAAGAGAAACAAAGGGCACGACAAGAGCCCUUGACUAAACAGUUUUUGCGUGUGCGUGUUCAUCGUGAUUUGAUGUGAUCGGUCCCGUGGUGAAUUUCCAACAAUUGGUAUCUAAAGCUAGGUCGAUUUGAAGCCGCGCUUGCCCCGGGGUGGCGAUCUACUAGCGCCUCGGGCGGGCCAUGAAGUCCCUGGAUGAUGCGGCGAGGAGGAGGAUCAGGCGAUUGUCGUUCGGCGGAGCGCCAUGAAGGAAGACGGCACGCUGUCGUCGGCAAGGUGAUGGAAGACGAUGUUGAUGGGAGCAGUGGUGCCGAGGUGCGGUGCCGGAAAGUCAUCAAGACAGUCAUCCAGGGGAGUCUGGAGAGUCAAGGAGUCAUUUGGGUUAGCACGGUCGGUCGGUCGGUCGUCGUCAUGUCCAAGUGCUCAUCUCUGUGAGAAGGCGUUGAAGAUGAAGUGCCCAGGUCGUCUAUGUGUCUCGACGAGAGGAUCAAGUUCAACUACGUGGGGACGAUAAACCAGUGAAGGUGAGUCUCUUCAAUGAGGCCAUGUCUCUACAUGAGGCUGGAGUGCAUGGUGUAGUGCAUAGGGUGGCGUGAUCGACAAGGAGCCGGCAUGUAUCUUACUAGGAUGGAUGGUGAAGUCCACCGGGUGAUGUAUUUCACGGGUUACUAGUAAGGCUGGGUAGUCCAUGGCAUAUUUGAUGCGAUGCGUAAAUUCGCCAAGUUGAAAUUGGGGAGAGAUUAUUGCGAGCUAUCAAGGCCGUCAAUUUGACUUGUCGUGGUGCAAGCGAAUGAGUCGACAAGAGAUGAAUCGUCAACGAGUUAAGACCAGAGAAGCAACGAAGACAAACUGUCAAGAAUAGGAUGAGAUUGUUACGAAUAAUCUUGUUCGUAUGAUUAGAUUAGGUUGGGUUGGAGUCUUAAGUAGACUAGGUUUAGAUUAAUCAUGAUCAACGUUGCCGUGUAAUUAGAUAGGAUAUAUAGUGUUACUUUUCAUUACCCAGGGUGCAGAAUAAGUUAUUCUUCAUCCAACGUAAUUUUACGAUCGUAUCAUAAAUAAAUUACGUUUGAAAUACAAAUAGUUACAUUCAUAUUAAUUUACUACAUAAAAUUUGGCAUAAGAAUACAAAAAUAUAGGUGAUAAGAUUAGAAAAAAUGCAUUUUAUGUAUAUUUUACACUAUGUUUUAUGUUUGUAAUUUUAUGUAACAUAAAAUAUUUUUUACGGUGACUAUAUAUUUUCUUACGAUCUAUUUUUACGUAUAAAAUAAGAUAAAAUUUACGGAAUGUAAAAUUACGGUGCAUUGCUAUUAAAAUAGAGGAGGGUGAAGAAUAACUAUUCCUCACCCAGGGUGACGAAUAGUCAACCCUCACUCAAGAUCACAAUAGGUCCAUCUCCUUUAUUUUCGCGAGAUAUCAUAUUUGUGUUGCCGCUUAUCCUCUAUUAGGUAGAGAUAUAGCAAAUAUGCCUGUGCGUUGCAAUGGGGAAAAACAAUUAGACUAUGUUAGGAUGAGAUAAGGACUUUUAAAAUGUCAUGUCAUAAACUACGUCUCGUCUUGACCUAGCAUUGCGCCAUAGAAAGUUGUGUCAAUUUUUCUGGGAGCAAGCAUUGUAUAGAACACAAAAACCCUUUUUUAACCGAUGCGUCAUGGACUAAAUAAAAUCAUAAAACAACCUCUAUCUAUCCCCUAAAAAAUAUUUAAGUGAUGGUUCGUCUUUUCGUUAUUUACGUAUCUGCUUGAAUUUUUGCAAACAUUUUCUAAAAUUUUAUGGACAUAAUUUUCAAAUUUUUGAAUAUGUUUUGAAUUCACGAUCACCUUUUAAAAAUCAUGAAUAUUUUUUUUGAAAUAAUGUUUUUAUACUAUGCAAACAGUUUCUUAAUCUUAUUUAUUUUAUGAUUUCUCUACCAUUUUCUGAGUUCGUGAACAUUUUACGAUUUCUAUACAAAAUUCAACUCACAACCUUUUAAAAUUUGGAAUUUUUCCGUUGAAAAGAUAUAAACAUAAACAGAAAUAAGAAGAAAAAAAGUAAAAAGAAAAAAGAAAAGAAAACAGAAUGAAGACAUCACACCUGUAACAUGUGCGGGAGAAGGACGAUCCCUUGCGGAAAAAAUAAGAGAAAAGGGGCGAACUGGGGAUCGAACACAGGUCUCCUACAUGAUGUGUUGAAGCAUAGACCAGUGCGGCACUCUUCCAAUUGUGUUUUAUUAGGGUAGCACUGUAUAAUAAUCAAACCCCGCGGCGGCCUUCAAGAAAAAAAAACUGAAUCUUUUUUUCACUUAUAGAUGGCAUAGUGGGUAAUUUAGGGCAACUUCAAGGGUAGUUUUUAUGACGUACGGCAGAAACCCAAUUCUCUUUAUUAUAUAAAAAUAAUAUGCAUUUUCCCUAUAUAUAUGGACGAAUUUUUCCUACUACCGGAUGUAGUUACUCCCAUUUUUGUUUCAUAUGUUCUAGGUAGUAUCUAUCAUAUCGGAGAGUAUGUAUGCGUAGUAUGUAGUAUAUAAGAAUAUAUAGGUAGUAUAUAUACUACUUUUUUGGUAGUAUGUAUCAUAUUUUGUGCAUACUCCAUUUCACAUACAAAUAUGUACGUAUUUCAUGAAAACAAUAAAACUAUGGGCUCACUUGCAAUUUUUUUAUCGAACUCAUUUUGGAGUAUCUUAGAUAUAGUAUGUGAACAUACUAAAAUAAAUAAUAUAGAGUAUAUACUACCACAUGGUGGUAUAUGAGAAAUGGGUGUAACUACACCCGGUAGUAGUAGGAUGCAUUUUCCCUAUAUAUAUAUAUAUAAUAAUAAUAAAGUACGGAUUGACUCCAUGAGUUCACCGUCACAAUGCACUUUCUUCUUAUGUCAUAAUACGUUUCUUCAUGUCCGUUUUUUCUUGAUUUCGAUAUUUUUCUUAAUACCGGUGGUACUAUCUAUCUAUUUCUUCACGGGUGCGUUUCUUUACCUAAAUGGCCAUCGCUUUUCUCCAUAAAACUUCACUAAAAAUUACCCACCGUGACAUCCAUGAGUUAAAAAACGAUUCGUUAAAAAAACAAUCAGAAAAAAAGCGAACGCACGCAUCUGUCUAUUUCCUCUGUUCCUCAACCAGAAGCGCCAACAGACCCUGAUUCCUCCUCCUGGCUCCUGCUCUACCCAGCGCCGCCACCCACUCCAUCUCCGGCCGCCGGAGCUCAUCCUCUCUCCCGGACGGCCGAACUUCUGCUCUCCUUAUCUUUCCUACCCGUCUCCCCUGACACACCCCCAACUCGCUCUUGCUCUGUUGCCCUAGCUCGCACCGCCACCGCACGCCCCGCCGAUCCAAUAAUCGGAAACCACGCCCAGGAGCUCAUCCUGCGCUGCUUCUGAACCGCCUGGUUGCCGUUGCACCGAUUCCCCCAUCCCUCUAGCAUGCCUCUGCUAUCACCUCACCGUGACUCCCGCUGGAGAGGCUCCGCUCAUGCUGCUGCUUUCCUGGACGGCCCCUCCCCGCCACUGCAGUGCAAUGCGUAGCCGAUAUCGUGACCAACAUGUUGGCGGUCGGGAUGGACGAACUCCUUGAUCAAUCUAUGAUCCUGAAGGACUCGCUUGGCUACCAGAUAUAUUGCAACAUGGCUUUCUCUGUUCAAUUGUUGUGGCUGUCUUUGUCUUCCUUCUAACGGAGGUGUCCUCACCUGAACUCCAAGGAAACCAAGUUACUUGGUGUGAUGGAGACCAAUACAUCAAGUAGGCAAGAUAAAACUAUGAAACAACUUGUUUCUGCUUUGUUUUUUCUGAUUUAUUCACACGCUAUUUAAUAGUUCCCAUGAAAAACGUUUACUGAAAUCUUUGUAAGUUUGACCAAUGAAUUGCUUUUGUUGGAAAUCUUAUGAUCAAUCUCAUCUUAUUAGUAACUCUGUUUCGAAACAUAUGUAUUGGUAGAUUUUAUCUCUAUGCUUUUGCCUUCUGUACAUGCUGAAUUGCAAACAGCUCAACAUAGUAUUAGUAAAUCAUUUUUCUUGUCAGUUCUGCUUCUCUUUAUAUAUAAUACUAUUUAUACUAUUCGAAGGACAUCUGGCUGAGUUCUAAUAAAAAUCUUCAGGUUUGUAUGAUGGGAUCGUCUUCAGAAAAGAAGAUUUGUGUUGACUAUUGACAAGGACAGCCACUAUGAUAGCUACUAUUCGAAGCCCAUGUUUCAGUAUGCAGUCAUGCAGGUCACAAAGGUAAUGACGUUAUAUUUGAUUACUAAUAAAUGCAGGCAAGUAAAAUAAUGACACUGGCAUCAUGUCUCUAGGCUAAUGUAAUCAGUUUCUUCGCACAAUUGCUCAUUGUCCAAUUGAUUGGUCAGAACAAAUGUACAAGAAACUUCAGGUGGAGACUCCAAAACAUUGAUGUUUGUUCAAAUUAGCCCAAGGAAACUCUCUGCUCGCUGAACUUUGCAAGCAGAGUGAGAGGUGAAUUUCUGCAAUUUAUUGUCUAGAUAGAAGGGACAUGGGAGGUUGAGGUGAAACUGGUGAGCAGCAGCAGCGCUUCCUUGAUUGCAUGUACGACCGACAGGAGAAGGGAAAGUGCAGGGAGCUUGGAGGUGAGAUACCAUGGGUUUUGUUUCACAUAUUGCACUUUAAUCAAUGGUAGAUCAUGAACUGUUAUGCAAUACUCGGCUAGACGUAACUAUGAGAGGACUUGGGGUACAACCAUCUUAAUCGGAUGCUCGAUUUCUUUGGCUGCCCUCUCACAACUCUCUGGAGUUAGUUAACAAUAUGCUGCUGCUUUUUCUUGCCUUUGCUGCUGCUGUGCUCUUUCUUACUUGUGGUACUAUCUAAGGUUUGUUUAACUGUCGCCACAUUUUAGUCAAUCGUGCAUGCAUGCAGGCCGGCAUGGUACUAGGAUUUUUUUUCUGGAUAACUAAUUGUAGUACCAUUGUAGGUUUAUUUUAUAAGGAAGAAAGGAGAACAAUGCUGUCUAAGUUGUUGUCAGUGACGAGUUGAGAGUUUUUAUCCUAGCAAUAUUUGUACCAAGUUUUGCAAACUUACUUCCAUCAAGCCGUGCUGGAUAUGAACUCCACAUGAAUCACCCUCCUUUGCAACAUAAAAAAGCAUAGAGCCCCUCUACGGAAGCCACGUCUGAAUUGCAAAUUCCGGUGCUCGAAAUUAUCUCACUGGAAGGAUCCAAUCUUGCCAUUCUACCAACUUCGCUGGGACGCCGACCACCCACGCUUCACCUGAGGUACGCUGUUGUAAAUUCUGCACCACCAGGAUCACAUGCCAAGAUAAAAGCGACAUGUUUGUUAUGUUUCAUAAUCUUUUUGAAAUUAAAAUUUGAAAAGAGCAUGAGUUUUGAUAGGAUUUGGUAAUAUCCAUCAGUUGCUUAUUGUAACAUGUGCCUUCUAGUAGAUUGAUGUAGAUAGAAUCAUACUGCUAAUUUCCUGUAAUUUCGUCAUCUCAAAGUUGUUUAUCCAUUUGGUUGGCUGUUGUCAUGACCAUCAAAAACCGCCUCUCUUAGCUAUUCGUACUGUUAAAGAUAGUUCUAGAGACCCCGAGGAAGUAAUCUGUUAUACGCCUGACACAUGAUUGAGAAUUAACUUCCCUGAAGAUCUGGUUAACCUCAAACCUCUUUUCCAAAUAUUAAUGAGCUGUUGUUUCUGGAAAAUUCCAUCAACGCUCCAUAAAAAUGUAUGAUGUACCUUUACUUUGGAGCAUUAGUAUGCAAACUCCAGAAUUGGAGUAUUAGUCUGCAAACUCCAGAAAGUUUCUGUGGUCCUCAUACAUACAUCAUGAAGUUGGUAACUAUUGUGGCAUUUACAUUCAGAUUCGACAGGAAUAGAAACUGAACGUAUCAAAUAGUUAUGUUAAGCUAGAUGGGUAACUCUUUAUGCUUUCAUUUCCGAAUUAUUGUUUGAACAAUCUGAUGAGAUGUUUAAUGUCUAUUUUUUAUUGUGUUGCAGAAAAUGAAUCAUAACGAUGAAUGAACAACUAUUGAGGAUUUUGAUAAUCGGCCUUUAAAAAAUACAUUCUGAAUCAUGUGUUUCCAAUUCAGAUAAACUGAUAGAUGGUGAUGAAGAUCCAUCACCAACUAUCUCAACAUCAUCUCCGGUUUCUGAAGUUCUGAAAUGAUUGUUUCAGAACUAGAUAGACACAUAAACCUCUGUCACCAACCAUCUCGACAUUAUCUCUAUUUUGUGAAUUAAUGAAUAAAGGAAAAGUUUCAUUAGAUCCUAAUGUGCACCUUGCUUAAAUCCUACUCCCUCCACCGCAAAAUAAGUGCCAUUGAGUUGGUACUUUUCUGAAAUAAUCUUCUCAAGAUUUCAUGCUAACAUGUGGCUUCGUCAGUAGAUUAUAUCAGGAAAUCAAAGUCAGUUUCCUCAUUCUGGAAUUACUUCUUAUUUGCAACUGAUUGGUGUUGGACCGGAUUAUACAUGCUCCUCUGUGUGCUCUACUUAUGGAAAAUUGUACAUGGAUAUACAUAGAUUGGAAUUGAGAUUUGGAGCAAUUUGGUUGGUUUUGCUUUGUACUGAUGCUGCCAUUAUUUGUGUGAUGAUGUCAUUAUUGUACAGAGGAAAGGUACAGUCAGAGAGAUGGAUAGAAAUUGCUAGCUAUUUUUGUUGCAAUUUUUUGUUGCCGAAGCUUAUUAUUUAUUUGUUGUUGUUGCAGUUGUUGUGAUGGGAAGUUAAAAAUAUUUUUUAUUAUUUCAAAGCAAUGUCAGAUUUAACAAUUUGAACUAGACUGGACUACAGCAUGUUCAUUUAGACUCUGAACGUGAUUAACAUGAUCAUGUAAUUUUUAGUGCCUAAAACAGGUUGCUGAGGUAUUUUUACUCCCGUUGUAACGCACGGGCAUUUGUGCAUUUUUAUUAAUUGUAUUUAUAAUUGACAUUACUGAUUAUUAUGCAUUUGAAAAGGUUGUAACGAGAAAGAGGACGGUGAUGGUCUAAAUCGGCAUGCACUCAACAAUCGUUUUGAUAGCAGAUCAAUACAUAUUUUUUUGCUCUUAUUUUUCCCGUUGCAACGCACGGGCCAUUAUACUAGUAUAUAUAACAACUCGCAAGAUGUUGAUAUUCAUCAGAGUAUGUUAAAAAAGAUCUUCAUCUCAGAGAGGGUCAUCGGUGGAGCAUUAAUUGUUUAUGCAUACAAGAUCUAUAUCCGACCUGAUUAAAUAACAAGAAAUCACCAUCGAUCAUCAAUGACCAUCCUAUCAUACGAGACACGACAUUCAGAUUUGUUAACAAGGUUCAUCGAAUCUGGCUACAUCCCGGGGGAUAUGACUAUGGACACUCCUCCCCAUGAUACUGUCCUGGCCGGGCACCGGCACACCUCGCCGGCUACCCUGCGUGCAUGUCCUAUUAAUUAUGUUGGCAUAGAUUACAUCGUCUGUCUACCACUUAUUAUAUAGGAGGUCUAAGAUACAAGUGUCCUAUUAGGACACGACUUCAUAUUGUGUCUAAACACAAUACAACUUAGAGUCCAACUGUAACCUAUCUUAUACACUAUAUUCGACACAAUUCCAACAAACUGCACCUUAGUGAAUAUUCUCCACCACAUUGAAUCUGUCCAUGCGUCAAACUUCCAUGUAUAUUGAACUUGAGCUUAUCCCAUAAGUACCUACUACUUCAUUGGUGAUACUAACUAGAGAACACUAUUAUCAUACUUGUGCAUUGGGAAUAGCUAAUAUUUGAGUAUGUUUCAUAAAUGGAUCAAUGAUUGAGCAUAAUGAGCUAGGGAUAGCUUUAGUGUUGAUAUUUUGAAAGACAUGGUUGCUUGUUGAUAUACUUGAGUAUUGAUGUCCUCUUGUCAAUUAUAGACUAUUGCUUUGAAUCAUCUAAAGUCCAAAUGUCCAUGCUACAAAAGAAAAGAAUAUGUGAUGAACAUGUUAGGCAUCAUUCCACAUCAAAAAUUCUGUUUAUAUCAUUUACCUACUCGAGGACGAGCAGGAAUUAAGCUUGGGGAUACUGAUACAUCUCCAACGUAUCUAUAAUUUUUUAUUGUUUCAUGCUGUUAUAUUAUCAAUAUUGGAUGUUUUAUAUUCAUUUAAUAGCAACUUUAUAGUAUUUUUGGGACUAAUCUAUUGACAUAGUGCCCAAUUCCAGUUGCUAUUUUUUGCUUCUUUUUACUUUACAGAAUAUGAAUACCAAAUGAUGUCCAAAUGCAACGAAACUUUUUACAGCUUUUUUUCUGCCCAGAAGACACCAGGGAGCCAAAGGAGCACACGGGAGGAGGCUCGUGGGGCUCACUAGGCACCAGGGCAUGCCAGGGGGCCCAAGCGCGCCCUGGUGGGUAGUGGAGCCCAUAGGAAGCUUCUCCACCGACCUCCACAUCUAUAAAUAUUCUAAAAUCCCCAAAACCCUAGGGGAGUCAAGGAAAUACAGUUUCAGCCGCCACAAAUUCUAGAACCACGAGAUCCAAUCUAGAGGCCUUUCUGGCACUCUGCCGGAGGGGCAAUGAUCACAGAGGGGUUCUUCAUCAUCCUUGUCACCCCUUCGAUGAUGCGUGAGUAGUUUACCACAGACCUGCGGGUUCAUAGCUAGUAGCUAGAUGGCUUCUUCUCUCUUUUUGAUCUUCAAUACAAUGUUCUCCUCGAUGUUCUUGGAGAUCAUUUGAUGUAACUCCUUUUUGCGGCGUGUUUGUUGGGAUCCGAUGAAUUGUGGGUUUAUGAUCAGUUCUAUCCAUGAAUAUUAUUUGAGUCUUUGCUGAACACUUAUAUGCAUGAUUGUUAUAGCCUCAUAUUUCUUCUCCGGAAUUUUUGUUGGUUUGGCCAACUAGAUUGAUUUUUCUUGCCACCAAAAAAGGUGCUUUGUGAUGGGUUCGAUCUUGCCAUGCUCAAUCUCAGUGACAGAAAGAGACAUGACACACAUGUAUCAUUACUAUUAAGGAUAAAAAGAUGGGGUAUAUUCCUACAUGAAUGGAUCUUGUCUACAUCAUGUUAUCAUUCUUAUUGCAUUACUUUGUUUUUCCAUGAACUUAAUACACUAGAAGCAUGCUGGAUAGCGGUCGAUGUGUGGAGUAAUAGUACUAGAUGCAGGCACGAGUCGGUCUACUAAUCUUGGACGUGAUGCCUAUAUACAUGAUCAUUGCCUUGGUCAUGAUUAUUCGCUUUUCUAUCAAUUGCCCAACAGUAAUUUGUUUACCCACCGCAUGCUAUUUUUUUGAGAGAAGCCUCUAGUGAAAAAUACGUCCCUUGGGUCUAUGUCUUAUCAUAUUAAAUCCAAAAAUACAUUGCUGCACUUUUUCUUUCUUUAUUUUUUUUUAUGUUUUUGCUAGAUCUAUUUAUCAAAUCUCAUACAAUUUAAUCUAUCUCAAUACCGAGGAGGGAUUGACAACCCCUCUUACACGUUGGUUUGUAAGUAUUUGUUGUUUGUGUGCAAGUGGUGUUUACAUAGAGUUGCUUGGUUCUCCUACUGGAUUGAUAACUUUGGUUUCAUAACUGAGGUAAAUACUUAUCUUUGUUGUGCUGCAUAAUCCUCUCCUCUUCGGGGAAAUACCAACGCAGACACGAGCAAUUAGGAAGAACUUCUGGCGCCGGUGCCGGGGGACAUCAUCAACAUCUAUCAAGUAACCAAUCACAAAUCUCAUCUCUUUGCAAUUACUUUAUUUGUCAUUUGCCUCUCAUUUUCAUCUCCCCCACUUCUAAAAAGAUUUUGCAAAAACACAAAAAUAUUUUCCGUUUCUUGUUUGAUCUCUUGUUUGCUUCCCCACCUUAUCAUUACGGAUAGUUCCUCCCUUGCCAUGUGCACCCUUAAGAAUGAAUUUCUCGAUUUCAAACAAAGGGGGUGAGAAAAUUUAAGAGAUGCUUGGUAUAGAAUUUGCAACGCUCAUAAUAGAUCUACUCGUAAGCAAUCGACUACCAUUCUUCUUCGAAUUUUUUAUGUCGGAAUUACUACCUGGUAUAGAUUUGUUCUUGACACUAUUACCAGAAGGAAUUUCUUGAUGCGUCCCUCUAUGGAUUCUUUUAAUGCUAUGGGAAAUUUAGUGGGAUCGCCACCUAUCAUUAUCAAUGAAAAGAUUUUAACCCUUGAGCAUGUUAUGCAAAGGCUAGAUGCUAUUGAAAAGAAAAUGCUCACCGAAGAACAUAUUGAAAAUGUGGACAAAAGGAUCCAUAAUCUUUCUAACUGAAUUGGGUCAAAGAUAGGGGAUACUCUUCAAAUACUAAAAGAGAAAAGAUCCGUAAUUAACAAAAGGGUAGAGGAGAGCCCUUCUCGGAUUGAUAGAUUGGAAAUAAAAUUAGUAACUUGAGCUUAACUCUUUCUUCCAUUAAAAAUAUUGAAAAAACUCCUACACAAAAUUGCAAGCCUACACAUGUUCCUAAGAACAAGGGUACCACCUCUAGUAGUAACAAUGAAGAUCUUAAAAUGAUUAGUAUUCACCCCAACUUUGUUGAAGUAAUAAAAAAUCCUACUUGCAAGAGUGAAUGCUUCAAUUUUAUUCCUAGGAGCGUGAUUAUUGAAAGUAUGCACACUAGAUCUCCGAGGAAUUAUGGUUGUGUUAUUGAGGAGUUGGAAAUCAAAGAAGACAAUACUUGAAUCUAUCUAUUAUGCCUACCUAGGGGCAUAAAACAAUAGCGUUUGUUGGGAGGCAGCCCAACGAAUAAAAUAUUUUUUUCUCUUUUUUCUGUCCUUGUGUGUUUACACAAUUAUGCUGCUGUAAUGAUUGUCUCUAUUCCUAAUGGAGCAGUUGGUAGUCUCGCUUCCAGGUUUUUUUUAGUCCCACCUUCCACGGUUUUUUUUCGUCCUAAAAAAAUCUACGAAAUUUCGUAGGUUAACCAGGGACAACUCCCACCUCCCAGGUUUUUUUCGUCCCAUCUCCCAUGGUUUUUUUGGGUACCUCGUCCCACCUCACACUAAGCCGCCACGAACCGCAAAAACCGCCUACCUUAGCCAAAUCAACAAAUCUCUCUCAUUAAUGCAAUUUUCUUUAGGAAACAAAUAAUGGAUUCUUUCCUACCAUAGCCAAAUCAACGGAUCUUUUCUAUUAAUGCAAUUUGCUUUAGCAAACAAAUAAUAGAUUCUUUCCUACCUUAGCCAAAUCAACGGAUCCCUCCCAUUAAUGCAAUUUGCUUUAGCAAACAAAUAAUAGAUUCUUUCCUACCUUAACCAAAUCUACGAAAUCUCUCUCAUUAAUGCAAUUUGCUUUAGGAAACAAAUAAUAGAUUUUCAGAAAACAAAUAAUCUCUAAUCUCUAAUAAUUUCUACUCCCAAUGAAACAGUUGGUAGUCUCCUCCCACCUUCCAUGGUUUUUUUUGGUACCUCCUCCUACCUUCGCUGGUUUUUUUUCGUAGAUUUUUUUCGUUCCCUCCCCUCACUUCAUCGGUUUAUUUUCGCGUUACCCUCUCACACAACGAAAGAAAUCUAAACAGAUCAGAACUUUUCAUACUGGCGCAAGUUAUUUAGUAAUGUAGAAUCAAUCACGAACAAUCUCUAAAGAUCAAAUCUAAAUUAAUUAACCUUACCUUAAAUCACUCAGUUACAUUAAUUAGAAAACAAAUAAUUGAUUUUCAAAAAAUCGCUCAAUCACGUAAACCUUACCUUAACUCACGGAUGGUAAUCAAUCUCCAAACAAAGGAAACAAUACAUCGAGGGAGCAAUAAAUAAACUCCCUUUCUUAUGACAUGUAUAUGAUCUUUCCUUCCCUCUACGUUGUCGAGCGUUCUUGAUUCUCGAGGCCGAUGCUUGGGCUGCGUCACUGGGUCGCGACGGUGCUGGAGGACGAGGACGGCGAGGCCGGGUGCCGCGGCACCGCGUUGGCCGCGGCCGGUGAAGGGGCAAAGAAGGGCGGCUUCCCUGGCCCUGGCCAUGGCCGUGACCCUGUGAGUUGGUGCGGUGGAAGUGGCACUUGAAGGACACGGCGUGGGUGGCCGACGCGCAGACGCGCUUGGAAGCGGGCCCGUGGCCCGUGCCGGACGGCGCCGACGCCGACCCGGGCCACCUCCUCCGCGUAUUCUUGGAGCUGUGGCUGGCCGAUUUACAUGAAAUUAAUUCCCUCAGUUAUGGUGGCAAAUAUAAUACACAUAAUCCAUAUUGUUAUGUACUAGCUUGUGUGUGUGAAAUAGAUGGAUUAUGGUCCCGUACCCAAUAAGAUGGAUAUGUGUGUGUUAGAGAGAGAGAGAGGGAGAGGGCGAGAGAGUGAGGAAGAGGGAGGCAGAGAGUGUGUGUGAGGAAUUGAUGAUAAAAAAGGUCGCCAAUGUCACUUGAUAUAUAUGAGAAUAUUAAUAUUGAACUUUUAAAGUUAAUGUGGCCCCGUUGCAACGCACGGGUGUUCUUCUAGUUGUGUUUUUAUGUUUUAAUUAGUGUUUGUGCCAAGUAAAGAUUUUAGUAUGAUGUUGGGUGAUAGUUGAUUUGAUCUUAUUGGAAAACAGAAACUUUUGCGUCCAGUAGAAGAAUUUUCAAAAAUCACUGAAGCGAAAAAAAAUUCUGAAAUUUUUACACCCGAUUGAUAUACGAAUUGCCUACGAUUUCCUAAUUGUUUAGAUUUUUUGGACUAACAGAAGUAUGGUUAAAGUACAGAUUACUACAGACUAUUCUGUGUUUUACAGAUUCUGUUUUCGUUGCAUUGCGUGCUUAUUUUGAUAAAUCUAUGGGGAUAAAAAUACAAUCACUAGUAGACAAAGGGUCUAAUGUGAAUCUCAUUAGUGCCGGUUUGUAAUUGAACUGGCAGUAAUGUGACCAUUAGUGCCGGUUCGAACGGCCAGGCGGCCGGCGCUCAUUAGUACCGGUUCGUGGCGAACCUUUAGUAUGGGUUGGUGGCUCCAACCGGUACUAAAGGGGGGGGUGUCCAACCGGUACUAAAGGUGAUGGCCUUUAGUACGGGUUGGUGGCUCCAACCGGUACUAAAGACCCCCCCUUUAGUACCGGUUGGAGCCACCAACCGAUACUAAAGGUGGUGCGCUGCCACCCGCAGUGCACAAUGUUUAGUCCCACCUCGCUAGUUGAGAGGAGCUCGCACCGGUUUAUAAGCCCCGCCGCGGCUACCGUGUCGAGCUCCUCUCUAAGCAGGCCUUUGUGGGCCUAUUGCAAGUCUUCUGCCCUGUGGGGCCUACUGGGCCAUACGGGCCUGCAUCCUGGCCCAACUAGAGAUUGGGUUUCUAGUCGUAUGCAGGCCGUGCCGGCCCAGUAGGUGGGCUGUUUUUGCUUUAUUUCAAAAAUAAAAAUAAAAAAAAUCCUUACCAACCGGGACUAAAGGUCCCCAAGACCACGACGCGCCUCGUGCCACGUGGUGGGCCUUUGGUCUCGGUUCAUGUUGAACCGGGACUAAAGGGGGGGGGACCUUUAGUCCCCACUCUUUAGUGCCGGUUCCAGAACCGGUACUAAAGGUCCUUACGAACAGGUACUAAAAGUCGUUUUUCUACUAGUGAAUGAGUACACACCCAGUCUCUGCAUUAUUAAGAUACAUAGAUCCAACACCAACACACACACGUGCACAAAUUAUCACACCUGCAAAGAGUAAAGUCAUACAAGACCAAAGUUAUGCCUAGGUGUAGGAAAAAAAUAGUAAUAUUAAUCCUCGUCGGGCUGGUGCUGAGAGACAAGAAAGCGACAAUUGCAAUAGAAACCUCCCACAACCAACAACCCCACCAAACAAAACCAUCUCCAAAAAUGACGCCUUCAAGAGGGAGGACGACGCCAUCACCCGAUCCGGGGAUUUGGAUGGUGUCGAAAUCCUGCCGAUGUCGAUAGGCAGCGAAGUGCACUAACGUUGACGCUAACUCUAUGUAAGCAUUGCCGUCAAUUCUGGUGGAACAUGGAUUGAUUGUGGAGGUUUUGCCUUUGGUACAACGUGCAUGUAAUAACAUACCUUUGGUAGAGCAGAACAAGGUGUUUUCUUUCCUGUCUUGCAUAGAAUCUGCCAAUCUGGAGAGUUGUCAGGAAAUCGAGUAGCUAGUUGAAUAGUAGGUUUUUGCGGCAAUUAUCUUCUUGGCCAUUUACAAGUGGAUAUAUAGUUUUACAUGUUAUCGAGUUGUUAGAUGGUGAAUUGUGACGUUUAAUAUGUUCGUGUUGGAGCUGCUUCUUGAUGGGAUUAACUUUUCUUUUGCAAAACCAACGCCUUUGUAUUUUAGCUCUAGUUUCCUUUCUUAGAAGAAGGGGAAAAAUGUAAAUAUUCAUAUUUUGGCCAGCUUGGAGGUGCAAAUUGGUGACCCUAACAUUCUCAAACCCUCUUUUGUUCAAACAAAUUAACUAAUUUUUAAAAAAUAAUGUGAUUUGAAUACUUGUUUAUUUGAUUGAACUAAAGAGGUUUAGAGGGUACUCUUCGGGUCACCAAUUUUCAUCGCUAGUUUCAAGCCAUAUUUGUCUUUUGUUCUUUGUGUUUGUUACUACGACUCUUUAGGUUCAUCAUUUCUGUAGAAGGAAAUGAACACAUAUUGAAAAAAGAGUUGUGCUCUUUAAUUCUUAGCUAACUAAGUUGGAAAUGCUCUAAAUUGCGUCCUCGUACAGAUCUGAAGACCAGCUUCAGCUCGAAGUCCACUAGAUGCACUUCUUAGGAACCUCUAACCGCGCCUUCUAAUUCUUGGACGAGAAACCCACAUCCGCCCUAGUAUGAAGAGUAGCGGAAAGCCUUUUGCACAUUAAGUUUCAACUGAUUGUGGACCGGUCUUGUCUAGCGCACCACCGAAUUCUUUUCAUGCGCAUAUUGUAGCACAUUUAGGGGCGGAGCGGGAGCAAAUGGUACCCGAUGCACCACUUCAACAUAGUGCAAAAUUUCCAAGCGAUGACGCAUUGAAUAAAGGUGUGUUUCGCAGCUUCUAAUGAAGAUUUUUGGACAUAAUAGAAGAUGAUAUAUAAAAAAAUUAGGCACUCAAAUGUUUACUAUAAUGAUAAAAUCAAGAGAUAAAAUUAUUUGAAAAGGGUGUCUUGCAUUCCCAAAUUCCAAAAUAUACCAGGAAACGAGAUAAGAAACAGAAUAAACAUUCAAGUAGAACAUUAUAAAAUGUCGCAUCAAAGUAUUUAAAUGACCCAAAUUUAAGAAUGGGUCUGUGUAGGACACAUCUAGAUAUGACAUAGUUAUGUCACAUAUAACCUGAUGUCCACUAUGUUAGUGGUCUAUUUUUUUUUCCUUGCUUUUUUUGUUUCUUGUUGUUGUGUAUUUGUGAGAGCUUAUUAGAUGUGACAUCCUUAUAAAACAUCUAGAUGUGGAUUAGGCAAACUGUUUGAGAAUUACCUUUAGCACAUUUUUACUUGUCGACUGUAUGGAAACUUGUAUAAAGUAUAUUCUAAUUAGAAGUUGUAACCCUUGAAAUUGCCCGCAUUUUGCCAAAACAUAGAGAUUUAACCUAUUGACUACAAGUUAUAAUUAUUGUUGCAAUUUGUAAUACAGAAAAAGCAAGUCAAGGACAGUACCAGAAUGGGCGUCCUUUGCAAUCUAAGGAUGAAAUGGAAGAUUGAACAGAUUGCCGAAUUGCCGAGAGCCAGACCGGCCAGAUUCGAAAUUGCGGCGUGCACCAUCAUCGUGCCGGGAUUCAGGCGUGCGAAUGAUGGUCGGUGAUGCGGCCUCCGGCGUCCCUAUCGCCGCCAGGCCGCCGCCUUUGACUUGUCUGCGCGAGGCGUAUGGAAGGGCUACGCACGCACAAACAGGGGAAAGACUAAUCCAUCUUUUUUUUAGGGAAGGAAAGACUAAUCAAUCGAUCGAUCAAAAUCAAAGUGUCCAACCACCCGUGUAGUGUAUGUGAUGUGGGCUGGGAAGCAAACUGCUUUGUCCGAUUGGCCUGCUUCGGCCCAGUCUGGAGGCGUGCGUCUGCCUGGAAACACAGACCCUGAUGCACUAGUCUUGGGCCAACCUGAUGCACAGGGCCUUUUUUGUGAUAGUUGCUACUAAAAAAAAUUCUUGCACCCGUAUUUCUGUGCAUCAGGGUCGGCCCAAUGGGCUCCACCCAGGGGAUCGAAGCUGCAUCGCUUGCUGGGCAGUCGCCACGCAAAACGCUGGUUCCUUUAGUCCCACAUGGGCUAGCGAGGUUGAGCGGGACCAGCUUAUAAUCCCCGCGCUGCUAAGCGAGUUGUCCCUUCGGAGACACCCGGUGAUUGGAUAAUGGAAAAAAUAGCAUUAGUGGCACUUUUUUUCAAUUUUUGGCACCUUUAAAAAUAAACCAAACCGUCUCUCUUAUUUAUUAUUCUCCUAAAUUAGUACUUAUUUUCACAUUCAAAAUUUUUGAAUUUCACCUGCAGUCUUUUCAGCCCCUCACGUAUACUACUAUUUUUAUUAGAAGGUUCAUCUUUUUUCUGAUCCUUACCCCUAUCAACUUUAAACAAACCGCCUCCUCUCUAGCUUCUCCGCCUCGCCUCAAAAAUAAGCUAUGAUUAUAUAUGAUAUUUUCAUUUUGUAUGAUAAAUUCAGCUCUAAAAAUAAGAGUUUUAUGAGCAUAAGUUUAAAGUCAUUAUUUUUUACUUUAAAAAGGUAAGUUGUGCACAUAAGCGAUUUGCAAAGGAUGCAUUUAUUAUCACCAUGCGUGAUACAUCUUGCGAGAUGAAAAAUGGUGGAGAACAUGUCUUACUCCCAGAAGAGAUGGAAGAAGCUAGGGCACAUGUUAUUGAAAGAGGCCAUAGCAGCGGCUCGGUGGAGCACCCACCGGCGUCGGGUACCUUCUACAGAUUCAUUGUCUACGCGCCUAGUAGUCUGCGUAGAUACCACGAUCAAUAUCCACCUCCUGACCAGCAUUACCAGGUCUACCAUCAGCAGGCGGCCAAGUAGAACAUGGCCGACCAUGAAGAGAACAAAUAUAUACGCAACACAUCCACACCCGGUUUCUAUCAUGAGCACCAUAUAUAAAUCAGUCUGUACAGCCAAAACGGCAACCGACCUAAAGUAGCAAAAAGAAAAAUUCCAUGCGACUCUGCUGACAACAAUGAAAUAACAUAUGCGACAUGUCAACCAUAAUCCACCACGCGGCAACACCAUUAUUAACCCACACAUGCGACCGUCAAAAAAGGAAACAAAACAGAUGGUAAAAAAUAGAGAAAAUAUCUCAUUGUACGGAUAAGACAUAAAAAAUAUAUUAGAAGAGAUAAAAGAAAAUAAGCCACACACAUAAAACGACCAAAGGAGAAAUAUCUCAAUCCAUAGAAAAAAUAAUAUACUCCGUAUAAUUCAAAAAGGGCAACCGAAAUCACAUGCACGUAGUCACACCGGCCGCCAUGCAGUGAUGCAUGUAAUCAUAUCCCUCCGAAAUUAGCGCCCGUGAUUGCAUGCACCUAUUAGUGGUCAAACCGGAAACAAGACAGAUACUACCACGCAGCAAAAGGCAGUUUGAUCUAACAAAACAAAUCCGAGGAUAAAUCGCCGGGUCCACCCAAUUGCAAUUCCGUAAAAUUCGGUGGUAAAUCCAAGGAAACCUCAAAUAGAAAAAUAAGAAAAAGGAAUCCUUUGCGGGGUAGUGAUGUUAUUAUACUAACACAUAAAGAAAUAAACUAUUUGGGACCGUGCUUGUCGGUGUAUCCGUGUAUGUAUGUCAUGCCCAACUUUGGAUUCUGUUCAAAUAAACACAUUGGGUCGUCAGUCUAAAGCGCAUCAAUCCAGAAUCCAACCAUUCCGAUUAUACAGAUACAAAAUUCGUACUUCAGCCAGAGAGCAUCUCAUGGUGCUUCAUCUGCACGUACAAAUGCUUCCGGCUGUACUGGUUAGUGCCUUGUGAAAGCAUGUGAACUUUUAUAUUAAAGAGAACAACUUAACAUGUACUAUUAAAUUUUCAAGUGCUCACUUAUGUGGAUAGAUCUCCCGUUCGCAUAGGGAUGUCAACAUUGAAAGCGUGGGAUCAUCGCUCGUCCAUUGUAAUAGUAGUUCUGCCCCCACGCCCAAGUACAGUAAACAGGCCCAGCCACCGUACCGUCAGCGCUGCGCCAACUCUCACAUGGACGAACAGGAGCUUUCCCUGCCAUGCAAGUUGCAGCAAACCACGGUGCCCAGGCACGUACGUACUCUUGAGGCCAUCCAUGGAACGUGCCAAGUAAACCAACCUGCAAGUGCAACCGCUGGUGAUACUCGUCACAUAAUGCACUUCACACUUGGAGACACCGGGCCGAAGGGGAAGACCGUGCCACCCGCGUCCACACGCACCUCGACGCCGGAGUCUGCGCGCUCAAGGCAUGCAUAGUCAGCCUCCGCCGCGGACGGGUAUUCGGAGCUAACGCACGUGGAGGACGCCCUAGCCGCACUCGGCGAGUUCCUUGAAUUAUCACCUGCGAACGGUCCACCGUCACGUACAGCUCGUUCGAGCAAGCGCUAAUCGCGCUCGAGCAGAGCGUCGCGGAGCUGCGGGCGGGGGCGUUCAGUUGGGGACGGCACGAUGGUUGCCACCUUGCUUCGGGCACCCAGUCGAUCAGAGAAGGUCAAAAGGAGCAAUGCGGCCUUGCUGUGACAAUGCAACACAUGCCGGGGAAGGUGUUGUCACCGGCGCGAUGGCUUUGGAGGCGGAGCCACAUGAAAAAAAUCGAGAAGCGGCCACCGGCACCACAGGACCUCCGACUCCGGUAACCGUUGUAUAAGUGACACGGAACGGCAGGACGCCGUCCGCCUGGGAGGUCGCGAGCUCGAGGCGGCAGGUUUUCGAAGGCUCCGGCGCGGUCCUCUGCGGCAGGCAGGUCCUCUGUGGCCAGUGCUGCGGUGAAACAGAAGCGAAUCCCACUAUUUAUACACCUUCCGCUCAUCUAGAAAGAACGAUUCAAGCGGCGAUCAAGAAGCAUCGAAUUAAGCGGCAGGAUGUCGGCAUGAACACGUGGCCAGAACAACGACCAAAGCGGCAAGCGAGUACCAGAACCAUCGAGUUAAGCGGCGUUCAAGGGACGAGACUUGCCUGCUCUCUUCCCGUGCUCCCAUCCGUGCUCCCGUGUACGUGCCUUGAUUUGAUUGGAAGAAAAUAAGGCCCGGCCCCAUCCCCUGAAAAUCAGGGGGGAAGAUGAUUAGAUUAAAAAAGAAAAGGAGAAAAUGCCAGCCGUAGAAUAAAGUGGGAGCACGGAUGAGAGCAUGGAAAGGGAGCAGGCAAGCCGGAUCCGCGUUCAAGACCCGAAUUUAGGCAACCAGCAUGCCGCAUAUGCAUGUAAACCGCAACAACCAGAACCACCACAUGCAAAAAAUAACACGGACACGCGUCUACAGAGGCAAAAAUCAAGCAGCAUACAACCGAGCGGGAGACAAACACGGAGGUGGAAAAAAAAACAGCCAGCCCACAACAUCUGUACGCAGUUGGUAGUCUCGCUUCCAGGUUUUUUUCGUCCCAUCUCCCACGGUUUAUUUUCGCUCUAAAAAAAUCUACGAACUUUCGCAGGUUAACCAGGGACAACUCCCACCUCCCAGAUUUUUUUUCGUCCCACCUCUCAUGGUUUCUUUGGUACCUCGUCCCACCUCACACUAAGCCGCCACGAACCGCAAAAACCGCCUACCUUAGCCAAAUCAACAAAUCUCUCUCAUUAAUGCAAUUUUUUUAGGAAACAAAUAAUAGAUUCUUUCCUACCUUAGCCAAAUCAACGGAUCUCUCCCAUUAAUGCAAUUUGCUUUAGUAAACAAAUAAUAGAUUCUUUCCUACCUUAGCCAAAUCAACGGAUCUCUCUCAUUAAUGCAAUUUGCUUUAGGAAACAAAUAAUAGAUUUUCAGGAAACAAAUAAUCUCUAAUAUCUAAUCUCUAAUCUCUAUCUCCAAUCUCUAUCUCUGAUCUCUAAUCCCUAAUCUCUAAUCUCUAAUCUCUAAUCUCUAAUAAUAAUAAUAAUCUCUAUCUCUACUCCUAAUGGACAAGUUGGUUGAAUAGUCCGGUUUAUUUUCGUCUCACAUCCCACCACCAUAUCUACUCACGUUAAUUUUUUUUACCCUCACAAUAAAAAGUUUCCUAACCUUUCCAAAGUUUCCUAACUAGACACGUUAUAAACGGGCAGGAACUGAUAGCACGUUACCAAUCAAUAAAAUUUAGUUUCAUGACAAUCAAUUCCAAAUCCUAAUUUUCCUAAUACGUCGAUCUUUCUCAAAUCCUAAUAAGCCCUCUUCCUCUUUCCUUUUUCACCGCUCCACCUAGAAAAAAAGACCCAUCAAUCACGCAACCCCUCCCUGCCUCUCCCCAACUCCCCAAGCGACAUCCUCUCUCCCCUCCCUGCCGUCCCCCAAGACGCCCUCGUGGGCGCACUCUUCAUCGGAGCGCCGUCCGCUGGAAGCCGGAGUCGGGUUGGAGAGCAGCCACCAGCGGGGGAGACCACAAGGGGAGGUGUUGGUUCUUCCUCCGAUUGAUGCAUCCGCUCGUGGGGGCAUUGCUGGUGGGGGGCGAGGAGCGAUGUUGGUGGCCAUGCUGGGGCCCGGCGGCGUGGGCGGGCGCGCUGGAACUGGUUGUGUCGAUGGCGUCGUUACCGCCGGAGACCACAUUCGUGUGGGCGCUGGCCAGCGCCGGGUGCGUGGCCGGGUAGGUGCGCGUGCCUCUCGACGGUCUGCUCGACCCGGCCGGGUCGGCAGCUGUACGGCUUCGAUGUGCUGCGCACUGCAAAGGGCUUCCGUCGCUCGAUGAGGUCAUCCAGCAGUAAGGGGAAAACCCCCCUUCGAUCCCUAACACUACCCCACCACAAUAAUCCAUUGCUAAAUUUUCUAUGACUGUUUGGUUAAAUUUGCAGGUCGGACAAGCUCGUUGGCCACAUUGGGUAGCUGCCACCCUCUGCUGAGAUUGUUCACACCAUGGAUGAGUUCUCCAACACUGUAAGCUACUCUUCUUUGGUUACGUUUUAUUUAAUCUGUGUAGAUUGAUGUGGGUUGGCUGAUGAUUGGCUAGGUUUGCUCGGUCAUUGAUUCGGCGGAGCUAUGCAGGGACACGCACUCAGAUAGGUGAUUGGAUGACGUCUGCUUGCUUCUUGUGUAAUAAUUUGGAAGCUCUGAAGCAAAGUGCUUUCAGUUUUCUUUUACUGAAUAUAAAUAUGUAUGUGAACUAGGGAGUUUACGGAGGAAGCAGAUAAGGCAUUAAUGACGAAUUAUGAGCAUCUUCAAGUAAGGUCUAUAACAUAAAUGGCAUCUGUGAAAAGGGAGAGAGCAGAGUGAAAUGACGGGUAGUUUCGUGUUGGACAUCACAGCGAGCCGGCCUGGCACCGGUAACACACUCGGGCAUGGCCCGGAGUUGCAACUCGUCCAUGGUGCCCAUGACGCCCAACUCCCACUCAUGGGUGUACGACCGGAUGCGCUUGUUCACCAGGCUGACGCACCUUUUUUCAAUUUUUGGCACCUUCAAAAAUAAACCGCCUCCUCUCUAGCUUCUCGCACAAACCGUCUCUCUUAUUUAUUAUUCUCCUAAAUUAGUACUUACUUUCAGAUUCAAAAUUUUUGAAUUUCACGUGCAGUCUUUUCAGCCCCUCACGUAUACUACUAUUUUUAUUAGAAGAUCCAUCUUUUUUCUGAUCCUUACCCCUAUCAACUUUAAAUAAACCGCCUCCUCUCUAGCUUCUCGCGCAAAUCGUCUCUCUUAUUUAUUGAUUCUUCUAAAUUAGUUCUUAUUUUUAGAUUCAAAAUUUUCGGAUUUCCCGUGCUGUCUUUUCAGCCCCUCACAUAUACUACUAUUUUUAUUAGAAGGUCCAUCUUUUUUCUGAUCCUUACCCCACCAACUUUUUGGUGAUUACGAGCUCAACUGAUUUUAUAGAAAAGUCCUUAUAGUUCUCAUUUUCAUAUUUUCAGAUUCAAAAUUUUAGGACUUCACGCCCCAUCUUUUCAGCCCCUUACGUAUACUGCUAUUUUUGUUGAAAGGUCCUCAUAAUUUUUUUAUUCAGUUAUCCGAGGAUGCGCGAUUAACAUUUUUUUACAAUUCUUAUUUUCAGAUCCAAAAUUUUAGGAAUUUUUUACCAUUCUUCAUCCAAAAUUUUAGGAAUUCCACGUCCUAUCUUUUCAGCCCCUCAUGUAUACUACUAUUUUUGUCAAAAGGUCCUCAUAUUUUCAUUUCCAUCUUUUCAGAUCCUUACCCCUCUAGUAGAAAACCGGGCUUUGGUCCAGGCCGGGCCAGCCCAUUAGUCCCAGUUCAGUCACGAACCGGGACCCAUGGGGGCAUAGGUCCCGGUUCGUGAGUCCAGGGGGCCGGCCGGGCCUCGUGGGGCAUUGGUUCAGGUUCGUCUGGCCCCUUUGGUCCCGGUUCCAGACACGGACCGGGACCAAUAGGCCUCGCUCCUGGCCCACAAUCAUUGGUGAUGCCUAUAUAUACCAAUGAGAUUCCUAUAUAUACCCCCUCGCCCGCGAGCAGAGCACUCCACUGCUCCGUUUUUCUGGCCGGACGUUGGAGAGCUUUGUGGUGCUCUAGCUCACGUCCUAUGCACAUGAGGUGUUCGAUGAAAUGCCCGAGUCACACUUAAGCUUUCUCCUCUCGAAGCUCCUUGUCCAAACUCCAUUUUCCUCGAGAUUUGUCUAGGUUUGGCGGUCCGUCCUGUCCCGUCCCCGUCCUCACACUACUAGGGAAAAGCUUAUACACAGAAACUUACCAGUAGCGCGGGUCAAAAGAGCGCUACUACUACUUACCACCAACGUGGGGCAAACAAACGCGCUGCAGCUAAAUUUAUAGCAAUAGCGCGUCUCAGGGAAAAAGCGCUACAACUACAAUUCCCCUACUGUUCUCUCCAGGCAAUCAAUAGUAGUAGCGAGCUUAAGCGAAGCGCGCUGCUGCUAAGAUUGUUGUAGAGCGUGUUUUACGCAGAAAGCGCUACUGCUAAUGAAAGGAAAAUAAAAUGAGAAACAUAUAGAAAAGUAAAUGAAAAUGAAAGAAAUAGAAAAAAGGGAAGGAAAAAAGAAAUGUGAAGGAAAAUAAAUGAAAAAGAAAAAUAAAGAAGAAAGGCGUAGCAGCAGCGUGCUUUUAGGAGAGGCACUAUAGCUAACUUAGCAGUAGCGAUUAUUUUCAUACAGCGAUAUAGCUAAUGUAGCUGUAGCGCUUUUCCUAACCCGCGCUACUGCUAUUUUUGACUUAACCGCGCGGUUUUUCUUCCCCGCGGCCACUUCCCCCAAAUCGAACUCGUCCGUUGUCCCCGCCGUCGUCGCCCUCGGCCGACGCGCGCUCUCCUGCCGCCCUCCGCAUGCCCUCGAUGCCACCCCCGACCCCGACCUCGACGCCGCCCUCCGCCGCUCGCCCGAGCCCCGACCCCGGCCUCGAUGGCCGCUCCAUAAGUCCGCCGGCGCCCGAGGUGAGAGCACGCCUACACCUCCUCCUCCUCCUCCCCUACCUCUGCCUAGCUAGGGUUCCUAGGUUCAUCAAAUUUUAGAGUUCAUCUAAUUAGUCAGGGUUCAUCAAAUUAGAUGCUAAUUAGGGCAGUAGUUGUAGAUGCUUAAUUGUAAGCUAGAUGUUAAUUAGGGCAGUAGUUAUAGAUGCUUAAUUAGUUUUUAGGACAAAUUCUUAGGGUUCAUCAAUGGGUGCUUAAGUAGUUGUAGAUGCUUAAGUACCUAGGUAGGGUUCAUCUAAUUAGUUAGUACUUGUAGAUGCUUAAGAAUUUAAUUAGAUGUAGUUAGGGCAGUAGUGUUGAGUUUAGAUGUUAGGGCAGUAUGAUUUAACUAGAUAUUAAUUAGGGCAGUAGUGUUUAAUUUAGAGAAAAAAAUCAAUAUAGUUUUUUUUACUGUUUUAGUAAGUGUUUAAUAGAAUUAGUAAGAAAAUUAAUAGAACUAGUUGGACUAGUUUAUUUUUAGUAAGAACUAGUUGAAUUAAUAGAACUAGUUUAUUUUCAGUAAGAAAAUUUAGGUAUAUGAGAUUUGUUGUUACUUUUUUAGUUAAAGCAAUUAUUCCAGCAUCGACGUUGACGAUGCCUAUCCCGCAUCCUCGUCGUCGACUCGGUGGAGGACACCUGCUUGAUCAGAGGGGCCAUGUCCGGGACUGGGCUCCGCCAGGCUGGUACUGGGAGGUGCUACCUUUCGGGGGCCGCAGCUUGGUGAGGAGCCAGCCCGUCGUUGACCCGAACCUUCUUUGGUGGCGGUCGCGUGGGCCAGUGAUGGUGCGGGGGCUUGAGGACCCCGCGGAGGUGGUACGUCACCGCGUCAGCGAGGAGGACAAGCACGUCCAUCGCUACAUGGUUGCAUUGGAGGGCAGAUUUUCCAGUACCUGGCUGGUUCUUCAGGGAUCUCAUUGGAGCUAUGAUCCUAUUUUGGUUCCUUCUCUUUAGGUGUCCACCACCGGCGGCGAUACCCGUCGUUCGCUAGGGUUUUACACUACUAGGAAAAACCCUAGUAGUAGCGCGGGUUUAAUGCCCACUAGUAGCGCGGGACACCGCGCUACUAGUAAGGCGCUAGAGCUAUUCCUUAGCAGUAGCGCGUGCGACACGCGCUACUGCUAAGACAUAUAGCCACGGCGUUUGUUCGCUCCCGCGCUACUGCUAAUAUAGCUAGUAGUAGUGUGUUUACUCUCCAUCGCUACUAGUAUUCGUUUUCUCAUUUUUUUUAAUUUUUAGUGUAUUUAUACGCUGUUAUACAAAUUUUGGUACAAUACCAAUUAUAAGGUUGUUAUAUCAAUAUGUCCAUAACAGUGUGUCAAAUGAAGGUAGAUUAGGUUCAAGUGGAGGCAACAUGUGGUGCAUGUCAAAAGUAUACUACUAAUCCAAACUUGAUCGCAACAUGAGAUAAACAACUCAUGGACUUAGUGGAAAUGCUAAGUCCCUGAAAUCAGAAUUACCAAGUGCCUCACUUGGCAAGCUUGUGCUAGUCACCACACACAUCACAAAAAUACAUGGGUUGCACCUCUGGAAAGAUGACAAAACCCUCGAAAUCACUUCUAUCUUUGCUUGCUAGAUGCUCGCUCUUUUGCUAUGCCUAUGCUGCGAUACCUACCACUCGCUUAUCAUGCCACCCAUAUUGUUGAACCAAGCCUCUAACCCACCUUGUCCUAGCAAACCGUUGUUUGCUUAUGUUACCGCUUUGCUCAGCCCCUCUUAUAGUGUUGUUAGUUGCAGGUGAAGAUUGAAGUUUUGUUCCUUGUUGGAACAUGGAGAUGUUGUUCCUUGUUGGAACAUGUUUACUUGUUGGGAUAUCACAAUAUAUCUUAUUUAAUUAAUGCAUCUAUAUACUUGAUAAAGGGUGGAAGGCUCGACCUCUCGCCUAGUGUUUUGUUCCACUCUUGCCGCCCUAGUUUCCGUCAUAUCGAUGUUAUGUUCCCGGAUUUUGCGUUCCUUACGCGGUUGGGUUAUAAUGGGAACCCCUUGAUAGUUCGCCUUGAUUAAAGCUUUUCCAGCAAUGCCCAACCUUGGUUUUACCAUUUGCCACCUAGCCUCUUUUCCCUUGGGUUUCCGGAGUCCGAGGGUCAUCUUAUUUUAGCCCUCCCGGGCCAGUGCUCCUCUGAGUGUUGGUCCAACCGAGCGAUGUCCGGGGCUACCAGGGGCAACUCUGGGCUGGCCUACCCGACGUCUGGCUCAUCUGAGUGUGCCCUGAGAACGAGAUAUGUGCAGCUCCUAUCGGGAUUUGUCGGCACAUUUGGGCGGUGUUGCUGGUCUUGUUUUAACCUGUCGAAGUGUCUUGAAGAACCGAGGUACCGAGUCUGAUCGGAAUGUCUCGGGAGGAGGUCUAUUCCUUCGUUGACCGUGAGAUCUUGUCAUGGGCUAAGUUGGGACUCCCCUGCAGGGAUUUGAACUUUCGAAAGCCGUGCCCGCGGUUAUGGGCAGAUGGGAAUUUGUUAAUGUCCGGUUGUAGAAAACCUGAAGUCGACCUUAAUUAAAAUACAUCAACCGCGUGUGUAACCAUGAUGGUCUCUUUCCGACGGAGUCCGGGAGUGAACACGGUGUUGGAGUUAUGUUUGACGUAGGUCAUUUAGGAUCACUUCUUGAUCAUACUUUCUCGACCAUGCUUUGCCUUCUCUUCUCGCUCUCAUUUGCGUAUGUUAGCCACCAUAUAUGCUAGUCGCUUGCUGCAGUUCCACAUCAUACCUUUUACCUUACCCAUAAGCUUAAAUAGUCUUGAUCGCGAGGGUGCGAGAUUGCUGAGUCCCUAUGGCUCACAGAUACUUCCAAAACCAGCUUGCAGGUGCCGAUGAGUCCGUGCAGAUGACGCUACCAAGCUCAGGAGGAGCUCGAUGAAGAUCUUGUCCUUUGCGUUGUUUCGUUCUAGUUGAUCAGUAGUGGAGCCCAGUUGGGGUCGAUCGGGGAUCUGUGUUGCAUGUUGGGUUAUCUUUUAUUUUGGCGCCGUAGUCGGGCCAUGAGUGUUUGGAUGAUGUAAUGUUAUUUAAGUACCUUGAUUGACGUGGCGAGUAUAAGCCAACUAUGUUAUCUCCCCUUUAUGUUUUAUAUUACAUGGGAUGUUGUGAAGAUUGCCUUACUUGCGACAUAUGCCUUCAAUGCGAUUAUGCCUCUAAGUCAUGCCUCGACACGUGGGAGAUAUAGUCGCAUCUAGUUUGGACUAGUAGUACUUUCGAUGUGCACCACAUGUUGCCUCCACUUAAAUCUAAUCCGCCAACACAAGCUAUUUAAUUAUCAUCAUAGUCAUUACCACCAACAGUAGCUAUUUAAUCAUCAUAGUGAUAGUGUAGCACACAUCAUCAUCUUCAAACUCAUUCUAUCUAGCUAAUCACCACCAACACUAGCUGCGGUAGCUAUCUAAUCACCACAGCACUAGCUAAUAAUAAUCAUCAUAGUCAUUACCACCAACACUAGCUAUUUAAUCAUCAUAACUCAUUUCUAGCUAGCUAAUCACUCCUGCUGCUCUCUCUCAGGUAAAAUAACAUAAAACAAGUGUAGCACUCCUGCUUCAUCAAGUUGGAGCAUGCAGAUGAACCUGUCUCCUAAUCGUGGGCUGCACUUCAGAUUGCUGCCCCCUAGUACUUCUCUGCGAUCAUUCACAAUUUUGCUCCAGUCUUUCACUAUUAAGCAUUCCUCGCUAUUAGAAAUCCUGAAUGCACUAAAGUGCAUUGAGGAUAUCUUGGUCGUAAGCUAACAAUUCUCAUGCGACCUUCAGUGUCCAUCCAAUGAGGCACAACAUUCAUCGGGAGUUCCUGUUGAAGAACAUCGUAUAGUAACAUACUUAGCAAUGAAGUUUAGCUUAAAAAAUAAUAUAUGCAAAAGUUGCACUGAGGACAAAUAGUAAAGAUCUUACCAUCUUUCCUAAAUAGAUGUUACCGUAGUUCAGUAUGAACACUAUUGGUCGCACGUUUUGAGUACUAAGAUUUUCAAGUCCAGGAAAAAAAAAUUGUCUUCACAGUGUGAAGAUCCUCAAGCCAUGAAACAUAAUGACUUAUCUCCUCGCAAUUUAGUUCAGCCCCGGGACAGUGGACGAUCAUGUCUACCAAGCGCCGGACAUGUUUGCUUGAAUGGAAAUAAGCUGUCAAUAGAAAUUAGUUGUCAACUAUUUUUGAAUAAACAAUAUCAAAGAAAUAAAUAUGGUUGAGAAACGCACAUAAUGGUAUAACUGGAAGCGUCUGCAAAUCGACCCAGAUGUCUCUAUUACCUUCAAUAUCAUCUUCGGGAUGAAUAUCAAAGGUGAUAGACAUAUCAGGCUCAAAUGCAUAAGCCUUGCAUAGUGCUUGCCCAGUUUUGCAUUCAAAAUAGGUGUAGGUAUCUGCGUUGUAUAAUUUUGCAUGGAAAGUAUAACCAUGCUCAGUCUUCAAGUAAACUCUCUUUACCUUCAUAGUAGUUUUCAUAGGACUAAAACCUAUCUUAUCCAAGACAAAAACUUUUGCAUGGCAGGGGUUACGCUAGUAGAAUAAUAAAAGAUUUAAAUUAUAAGUUGAAGCAAAUGAAGCACAUGUCAUGCUUAAUUAUGAAAAAAGACUUGUCGUUUUGACUUACUGUAUCCACUUCGAAGUUCUCGUCCAGCUUGAUGCUGAAGUGCCUAUCAUCAUCUACGAGGAUUCUGUCGCACAGGCCGCGCUCGUCUUCGCAGUAUUCACACAUACCGAAAUCCUUUUCAUCGUCAGACAUUUCCGAUGUUCAUAGUUGAAACAUUAAUUGAAAAUCGAUCGAAGGCAACUACCAGGAUGCUCAACACACAAAUCCGGGGCACUCGAUAUUUCCUACAUAUUCUGGCACAAGUCAUGCCAAAAUUCACGGAAAAAUCCGGCAUGACCUUUGCUAAAAUAGGACAUAUCGAGCGCCUGAAAUUUGCCGGAACGGAAAUGAAUCAACACUCCGGCAAAACAUAGGCCACUCGGAGGUAUAACCUGCAAACAUGAACGGUCACUUGGGCAAGCACAUAUCCUAUUUGAGCAACACAAGAUAUACAUUACAAAAUAUGUUAUAGGACUCAUAUUGACAUGAGCAUUCAAUAAGCAAAACCAAAUCGUAAAAUAAAUAAGUAUUCAAAUUAGCAUGCAUUCAAUAAGCAAAAGUAAAUCAUCUCAUGAGUCCGUACAUCGUCGAAUAUUAUCACUAAUACAUCCCGAAUAGUAUCAUACAUAUAACAUCACUAAUACAACUAAAACCCUAGUGCACGACGGCUAUCGGCGCGGGCAGUGGACACCCAAAGAGAAGGAACCAUCACAGGAUCAUAGCUCCAGUGAGAUCCCUGGAGAACCUGCCAGGUAUUGGAGAACCUGUGCUCCAACGUAAACAAGUAGCGACAGACGUGCGCGUCCUCCUCACUGACACGGUGACGUAUCACGUCUGCGGGGUCCUCGAGCCUCUGGACCAUCACUGGCCCAUGCGACCGCCACCAAAGAAGGUUCGGGUCAACGACAGGCUAACUCCUCACCAAGCUGCGCCCCCGGUAGGUAGCGCCUCCCAGUACCAGCCCGUCGGAGCCCAGUCCCGGACAUGGCCCAUCUGGUCAAGCAGGUGUCCUCCACCGAGUUGACGACGACGAGGAUGCGGGAUAGGCAUCAUCGAUGUUGAUGCUGAAAUAAUUGCUUUAACUAAAAAAUAACAACAAAUGUGACAUGUUCAACUAGUUCUAUUAAUUCAACUAGUUCUUACUAAAAAUAAAAUUAUUAUAAAUAAAAAUAAACUAGUACCUAAUUAGUACCUAGUUCUUACUAACUAAUUAGUACCUAGGAACUACUUCCCUAAUUACCAUCUAAUUUGAUGAACCUAGGGGUGGAAAGUGGUAGCAGAUAUUCCAAUUAUACAACUUAAAAGUGAAAUAAGUGGUCAAAUUUUACUCGUUUUAUUAUGCAUUACAAUAGUGUUUAUUCAUCAUCUAAGAAAACAUCCGAGCCGCAUCCCUAUCCGAUAACAUCCGCAUUCGAUUCGUUUCCACCCAUAGAUGAACCCUAACUAAUUUGAUGCAACUAAAAUUUGAAGAACCCUAUGCAGAGGUAGGGGAAGGGAAGGAGCAGGCAUGCUCACCUCGGGUGCCUGUAGCGAGGGAGGGGCAGGCGGCGUCGAGGUCGGGGUCAGGGGCGGCGUCGAGGGUGUGCGGAGAGCGAUGGGAGAGCGCACGGCGGCCAACAGCGGCGGCGACAACGAAGGAGUUGGAUUUGGGGGAAGUGGCCGUGGGGAAGAACGAACCGCGCGGUUAAGUCAGAAGUAGCAGUAGCACGUUCCAGGAAGUGCGCUCCUGCUAAGAAAGCUACAGCGCGUUCCUCGAUACGCGCUACUGCUAUUCCUUUCUCUUUUUUCCUCUUUUUCAUUUAUUUUUCUUUACAUUUUAUUUUUUUCUUUCACCUUUUUCUAUUUCUUUUAUUUUCAUUUACUUUUCUAUUUGCUUUCCAUUUAAUUUUAUUUCCUUUAGCAGUAGCGCCUUUCAGCGUAAACGCGCUGCUACAAAGCAAGUAGCGGUAGCGCGGUUCGACGUAGAUCGCUACUACUAUGUGUAGCCUAUCGGCUAAGCCAUGGGAAUUUUAGUAGUAGCGCUUUUAUCUUCAGGCGCGCUACUGCUAGAACUGUAUCUGUAGCGCCUUUUACAUCAGUGCGCUACUGCUACUUAGAACCAGCGUGCUUUUUUAACACAUGCUACUGCUAAAGUUCUGUGUAUAAGGUUUUCCCUAGUAGUCUUAGCUGUAUUAGUGUAUGAUACUAUUCGAGAUGUAUUAGUGAUAAUAUUCGAUGAUGUAUGGACGAAAGAGAUGAUUUAGUUUUACUUAUUGAAUGCAUGCUAAUUUGAAUACUAAUUUAUUUUAGGGUUUGGUUUUGCUUAUUGAAUGCUCAAAUUGGAAAACUACUCUUACUUUGAAUGCUCAAAUUGGAGAGCACUAUGCAAGGCGUAUGCAUUUGAUUAGUUGAUAGCUUAUAGGGUUUUUGUUUUUGCAGAAAUCAAGGAGCCCCUCCAUCAUCACCGCCGUCGUCCCCGUUACCGACUCCCUCUGACCUCAAGGCGAGACCUGCCAAAUCUCCAUGUCAAUAUGAGUCCUAUAAGACAUUUUGAAUUUUUUUUAUAUUUUGAACCAUUGAAAUGCAAUGACCAUCAAGUUUGAAUGCUCAUAUGAUGUAGAUAUAAACAUGUAUACCUUGUGUUGCUCAAAUAGGAUAUGUGCUUGCCCAAGUGGCCAGCCAUGUUUGCAGGUUACACCUCCAAGUGGCCUAUGUUUUGUCGGAGUGUUGAUUAAUUUCCAUUCCGGCAAAUUUCAGGCGCUCGAUAUGUCCUUUUUUAGCAAAGGUCAUGCCGGAUUUUUCCGUGAAUUCUGGCAUGACUUGUGCUAGAAUAUGUAGGAAAUAUCGAGUGGCUAGGAUUUUCUAGAAAAAUAGUUAAACAACAUUUCGGGCUGACUUUAAGUCUGUCGAGGCUCCAUCACCGACGGUCGAAAAAUCAGUGAGGGAGUGUAUCCACCAUAUAUGAGAGAGGAUGAAGAAUCCCGACUAUUGUGGUGGGUGUUAUUUCUCCUUCUUCUCUGGGUGCUAGACCAUUGUUAUGCACUAGGGGAAGGAGGAGUAACGACCAUCACUGACGGUCGCAAAUGUUAGAGAGGAAUCAGUGUGUGAGAGUCUCCAGCACAUAUGAGAGAACAAAAAAUCCUGACUGUUGCCGUGGGGGUCACUUCCCCUUUAUUCCCGUGUGCUAGACAUUUUGGUGUAAUGCACUCGGGGAUGAAGGGAGGAGUGACCACUACCGAUGGCUGAAUAUAUACACCACGUGAGCUGAGAGUUUUCAAGAAAAGACUCGGCAGACCGAUAGUCAACCCGUGAUGAAUAAUAAUGAUCCAAUUUAGUUUUUGUAGUAAAUAUUUUUAAUUGUACAAGUUUAAUCUUUGAAUUAUAUGAACCUAGGAAAUGUCGUCAUCGGACGACGAAAGUCUCCUGGGGAGUACGACUAGCGCAACGACGACCGGGGUCUGUGCGACAGGCCUCACCUAGACGAAGGGCGGCACUUCAGAAUUAAGCUCCAGGAGACCUUCGAUGUUGAAACGGUACGCAACAACGAGAAGAUUUUCUCAUAAUUAAGGACGACUUCUACUACUUCAAUGUGUAAUUUUCGUCUUUUACAAUUUGACUGGUUUAUCCCAUGCCAUUCAAGACACUAUGUCUUGGAGAGGCUGGAUUUUGAAGAUCGUGAAACUAUGUAAACAAAGAAAAUUCACCUACGGACCCAUCAUGGUAUGGAUUUUGAAAUAAAUCUGUACAAUUCUGAGAGCGUAACCCAUUUUGGUUGCACGAAUUGGGAAGCACUUUGCAAGAUGUAUGGUUUUUAUGAGGGUAUGCUUGUAACCAUGGAUCUUGGUGAUCCUGACAUCGCCGAAGACAAUUUGGACAUUUGGGUCCUUCUUGAUACGCUUCCAAUUCUAUCGCUAUGUGAGUUUUCAAACAUAGUUAUUAAGUAAUUUAUAUUGUUUAUUUCAAAAUAGUUGACGGCUUAUUUUCAUUCUUCAACGAAUGUGCGGAAGAUGGUAGACAGAACCAACUACACCGAUGGCUCAGAAUUAACUUAUUAGGAGAAAAAUCAUCUGAUCGCAUUUUGUACUGAUCUUGAGAAUUACAAUAUGUUUUAUCAAACUCCUCCACAUUAUGGUCAAUACGUGCCACUAGUGCACCUGUUGAACGACGGUAACAUCCAUGGAGAUACCAUGGUAAGAUUUUUUUACUAUUUCGACAUCCGUGCAAGUUUUGCAUAAAUUCUUAUAAACCUGAACUACAUUGCUAACUAGGAAGUCAUUACUAUGUAUUUCAACAAAAAAUCCCGAAUGAUUGUGUGCCUCAUCUGAUGUUUCAGUAUGCUCGACUUGAUGUUUUGAACAUACGGCCUGGUCAUCCUACGAAGCACACCUGUCCAUAUCAGAUUUCUAAAACUAGUGAAGACAUGACAAUCGAAGAAUGGAAAAAAUGUAUGGACAGUCGUAGGGAGCUACUUGGCAGCAACAUUGUGCGAAGGGCAAGAAUUGGAGACAGGAUAAUCUCCAUUCUCCAUAAUGGAGAGUCAGGGCCUAUCUUGUUUUAUGCUAUUUUACUUAAGAGAAGGUAGUAGGUCCUCUGAGAGAUCAGUAGGUCGUAGGUACAAUGUGUUAUUAUGUUGUACAAUGUGUUACAGUUGGUGAUGAGGAGGAGGAGUUGUGAUUAUGACUAGUGACCAACUUGCUAUAUGAUGUAUCAUCGAUGAAAAUGAUGAUCAUGAGGAUGUGUUAUAUGACAAUGAUGUAUUAUGAUGAUAAGUUGUUAAUGAUAUGAUGAUGAUGAUGAUAUUUAUUAUAUCAUUGGGUGAAAGAACUGUGGAUUAGUUUCAAGUGGAUGUCCACGGUUCUUUCACCCAGUGAUGUAAUAACUCAUUAUGAUGUAAAAACAAUCUCUAAAUUGGUGAUGUAUGAAAACUUGUAUAAUGGUGUAUGAAUACAACAUGAAAUAAAAAAGAAAUAUAACACAAAAUAGUAGUAGUAGCACGGGUGGAGAGAGGCGCUACUAGUACUUACCAGUAGUGCCCUUUCAAAGAGGCGCUACUACUAAGUGGAUAUAGCCGUAGCGCGGGUAUACCCACGCUACUGCUAACCUUUAGCUGUAGCGCCUUAUUAGUAGCGCUUGCACCCAUGCUACUGCUAGGCUUUUCCCUAGUAGUGUCACCACCGUUGAUCGCCCGCGCCGACCUCGUCGCCGGCACCACCGUGGUGAGCCUCUGUCAGGACCCCGAUUCUAAGUCACACCGAUCUAGCCUGUAACACCUCAUAUCACUUUGCGGCCUCACGGACGGUAUCCCCAUGGGUGUCGCCUUACCAUGGCCUGGGACCAUUUGCGCAUUUGGGCUCACGUAUAUGAUAGUGUCGCUAGCAUCCAUAUGACAGAGAACCCGGGCCGACAUGACUAGUCAUGAACCCAAAGUGGCACUAACUUACGGGGACAUGCAUACAUGAAUCAACAUCGAGCAUGUCGGUCAGCAGCGUGUGAAUCCGAGCUGUAGCAACUGGGCUAACAGGACCCCGGGAACCCGGGCUGUAGCAGGCUAGGUAGGACUCUGGAUGUCACCGCGUGACAUUUCCCCGAAGGGCAGACACAUGAACGAAGUGAAUCACAUGUCGGCCAGUCAAGUGUUCCGGAGCAGUAGUGCUGGGCUAGUAGGACUCCGGUGAACCGGGCUGUAGCGGACUACUAUGGCUCAUGGAAGCACAAGACUACAUUUCCCCAUAAGAGAGGCUACCAAGGAUAAACAACUAGGUUGUCGGAUCCCACACAUACCAAGCAUUUCAAUCAUACACACAAUAUGCUCGAUAUGUGUAAAUACAACAUGGCAUCACAACAUAACUCUAUGACUCCAGUAUUUAUUCAUUAGGACCGGAGAAACCAAGUAUUACAAUCAUGGUCUCCUGACAGAACAUACAGAGCAUACAAGCAUCGAACGGAAGCAUAAUCAUGUCUGAGUACAGACAACUACAAAUGAAAAAGGCUGAGAAGCCUGACUAUCUACAAGACCCUCCCAAGGGUACAGGAUCGUAGCUGAGGUAACAAGCUAAAGGUCGAAAUCCACGUGGAACUACUAGCGAGACUGACGUCUCUCUGCAAAACAUAAAAUAGGCAAACGUGAGUACAAAUGUACCCAACAAGACUUACAUCAGAACUAGCUACAUAUGCAUCAGUAUCAACAAAGGGGGUGGUGGAGUUUGACUGAAGCAAGCCAACUUUGACUCGGUGGCUAUCCUGAACUACGACCGCAAGUAACUCUUUUGGGGUGGCGCACAUGAGUCCACAUAUUCACCAUAUCAAUACACCACUAUGGAUCCGCUCCCGUCUCCCUACGAGAACGCCAUCCAUAGCACUUAGGCUUAUCUUGCGCAUUUUAGAGUAUCCACUUCAAGUUAUCUAUGAACUAUUAUAGGCAACCCAGAAGUCCUUUACCGCGGACGCGGCUAUUCAAAUAGAUCAUUAUAACCCUGCAAGGGUGUACUUCUUCACACAUGUUUCCACCACUUAGCGUCUGCACACGACAUGUGCUCGGCAGACUUCAAGCGAAAGACGACGUGGGUGUAGACCAUGACCUGACUAACCACACAAGUCUCUAGUCCAGGUUUAUCGCCUAUUCGGGUUCCAUCCGUGAGGAGAUCUGGCCGGAGUUUUUCUCACAGCCCCAAACGAUGUGUGCAGGGUUCCCGAGACACCAAACGGGCGCCCGGUACAUCUACCGCAUCAUAGCCCACCCCUAGGGUCAGCGCUACGCACGGCCUCCAACACAUGUCCUACAAACACGAGAAACUAGUUGCAACUCCUGGACAGAGGGCAGGGGCGGUUAAUAAGUCGAGCGGGGUCAUAUUUCAGGGCCCAACGUGUGGUAGUAGCUGUUCAUGGAUCACAAACACAUAACUCAGUUCCUGAGGACGGUUUCAAUGAGACAACCCACCAUGUACUCCUACAUGGCCUCUCACCGCUACCUUUACCAAAUCGUGUUCACACACUUAGCUCACACACAGUAGGACAUGUUCAUCACCAUUCCAAUUCAUUCCCGAUGAAUUAGACCUGACUCAACUCUAAGCAGUAGCAGGCAUGACAAACAAACAUGAAUGAGUAGGCACAUCAGGGCUCAAACAAUUCCUACUCAUGCUAGUGGGUUUCAUCUAUUUACUGUGGCAAUGACAGGUCAUCCAAAGGAAAGGGGUUCAACUACCGCAGCAUGUAACAGUUGAAUCGAUGUUGUCCUAAUGCAGUAAAAGAGAGCAGAAGCAAGAGAGUGGGAUUGUAUCGAAAUGAACAAGAGGGUUUUGCUUGCCUGGCACUUCUGAAGAUAAUAUAGUUCUUCAUCGGUAUCAUCGAACUCAUCGUCGGAACCACGUCUACUGAGAGGGGACAAAUACCGGCAAACACAGAAAGAACACAAUCAAUGCAAUGCACAAUAUGAUGCAUGAUCAUGACAUGUCAAUAUGCUGUGAUUUGAGCUAAUGCAGCUAAGAACAGAAGGGUUUGAGUUGAUUUGAACCAAAGGUUCAAAUUCAAAUUCAAACUAAGAACUUAUAAAGUGCAUUAUCAUGUUUUGAUCUAAACAGCAAGCUUAAGUUGUUUAAAGAUGCAUGAUACCAGUACAGAUGGAUAGAUUGGAUUUUUCUGAUCAUUCUUCAUAUAUAAUUUAUUUCAUUCUGAGUUAUAGAUUAUUUUCUAUGAUUUUUAGAAGUUAGCACUAUUUUCUGAAAUUUCCUGAAUAAGAAUAAAUCCAGAAAAACCUAUUACUGCAUCAGCAUUGCGUCAUGCUGACCUCAACAGGUCAACUGACCCGGUCCAGGUCAAACCUGGCCUGUGGGUCCCGCGGUCAGUGUAACAGCGUCAGCAGCAGAGGCUGACUAGUGGGGAUAGGUCAACGCUGCGGUGGCAAGGUCAAACUGACAGGUGGGGCCACGGGCAUUAGCUUAAUUUAAACAGGGAAGAACCCCGUGGUUAAUUAAGGGGUGGGGCCCGUAUUUCAGUGAGCUAGGGGGUUAGUUAGUGGCGUCAUUAGUCGCUAAUGAUGGUGCCACGUCGGCACGGCCGGGGUUGGGCCGCAGGCGACCAUCCAGUGCGGCGGCGACUCGCCAGGGUGGUGCUAGGGGCAGCGGUUGGUUGCGCUGAGGGCACCAGGAGGGAGCCCGUGCUUGACCGCAUCCAACCGAAGAAGCCGGAGGGCGCGGGGUGGCCGGAAACUCGCCGGAGACGAGCUAUGGUAGCGGCCGGAGAUCGGGCAUCGGCGAAAACGACGCUACAGCGAAUGGCAGGAGCAGUGGGUGGGGGUUUUGGGCUUCUGGCAUUUCGCUGAGCAUGGUGGUAUGCUCAGACGCGACGUGCGUGGGCUCUAGCCACGGCGGCGACACGACCGGCGGCGACGGGUUCUCGGUUCGACAGAAGUGACGGCUACGCGGCAAAAUCGAGCACGGUGAGAGAGAGAGGGGCGGCGUAGGAGGUCACAGUGAGGUAGUAGAGCAGCUCAGUGGCCUCAGGGAGGCGGCGGAGACGGCGAAUCGGAUGGCGGCAUCCGGCGGCCGUGGACGAGGGAGAAAGGUCGCGGCAUCGUCUUGGGGUCCUUCGGCCUUGUGUGGGUCGGCAGAAAGGUGCUCGAGGUCUAGGCGGAGCUCGUGGGAUGGUCAGAGAAGCGAGGGGGAGGCGGUGGCUGUGGCAACGACGAGCGGCGGCGACGGUGGCGCUCGGGUGCGUGCGAGAGGAGAGCCAUAGGAGGGAGAGAAGCUCGGGGAGAGAUUGAGAGAGGUCUAGGGGGAUGCGUGGCUGCACCAGGGAGGGCCAGGGUGAAGCGGCAAGCAGGAGGUGGCCGGGGCCGCGUGCGCGCGUCGGGCACGCGCUCGUCCUCCUGGCAGAGGAGGAAGACGACAGGGGAGGAGGCGGUGGUGGGCUGGGCCAGUUGGCUGGGCCGCCAGCUGGGCCGGCCAGGUGGGCGGCACAGGUGAGGCCAGGUACUAACUCUCUCUCUCUCUCUUUCCUGUAUUUCUUUUUCUAUUUCAUUUCCUCUGUUCUGAUUUAGUUUAUCCACUAAAUCAUUUUAAUAAAUUCUGUAAGUAAUUAUAUGGUUGCUAAAAUAUACACAAAGCCACUCACAAACUUCCAAAAUUAUUGGAGUUAUAUUUAAUAUAUAUUAAAUAUAAAUCCAAAGGAAAUAAUUAUUGGAUUAAUUCAAAUGGCCAAAAUAAAUGUUUCUGAGCUCCUAGAAAUAUUGGUUUGAGUUUUACCUCUUGCCAAUAUUUUUGUAGAAUAACAGGAACAUUUUCUUGGACUCAUUUGAGAAGAUUUUAAAGUUGGUUAUUUUUGACUGAUUUCUGAGGGUUUCAACAAACCUCAAUUCAACUUUCAAAAUUUUUAGACAUGAUGCAUGAGUGCAGUUGCAACUAUUUCACUCAGGUAUUCUAGGGCUGUGACAGCCUCUUGAUCUUAUCUUCGUUCUAAAAGAAAAAAGUUCUUACUUGUAUGAUUUAGAUAGAUACUUGUGUAAUUUCCUUACUUUUAUUAUAGUUUGUUAUUAUAUAGUGUGAUCGUUUUGGUAUCCGCCUCCGUCGUCCCUCGUCUUGUCUAUGAUUCGGAUGUUUUGUAAUGGUUUUUGACACACUUAAUUAUAUAUAAUGCACGCAGAUGAACCGACAAUGGAUUUACGGUAACAGACGCACCUCCGAGUACAUUGAGGGCGUGCAUAAUUUUCUCGUAGUGGCUGAGGCAAACAAGCAGAAUGGUUUUAUGUGUUAUCCAUGCCCUUGCUGUGGGAAUAUGAGGUCUGACUCUGACUCGAAAACCCUUCACACCCACCUGCUUUAUAAGGGUUUCAUGCCACACUAAAAUGUUUGGACCAAGCACGGAGAAAGAGGGGUUAUGAUGUAAGACAGCGAAGAAGAAGAGGAUGAUGACAACUGAUACGUCUCCAACGUAUCUAUAAUUUUUGAUUGUUCCAUGCUAUAUUAUAUUCUGUUUUGGAUGUUUAUUGGGCUUUAUUAUACACUUUUAUAUUAUUUUUGGGACUAACCUAUUAACCGGAGGCCCAGCCCAAAUUGCUGUUUUUUUUGCCCGUUUCAGUGUUUCACAGAAAAAGAAUAUCAAACUGAGUCCAAACAGAAUGAAACAUUCGGGAACGUGAUUUUCGGAACAAACGUGAUCCAAAGAACUUGGAGUCUACACAAAGCAACGAACGAGGAAGGCACGAGGUAGGGGGCGCGCCUACCCCCCUGGGCACGCCCUCCACCCUUGUGGGCCCCUCGUUGCUCCACCGACAUACUUCUUCCUCCUAUAUAUACCCGUGUACUUAGAAAACAUCAGGGAAGGAGCCAAAACCCUAUUUCCACCGCUGCAACCUUUUGUACCCGUGAGAUCCCAUCUUGGGACCUUUUCCAGUGCUCCGCCGGAGGGGGCAUUGAUCACGGAGGGCUUCUACAUCAACACCAUUGCCUCUCCAAUGAAGUGUGAGUAGUUUAUCUCAGACCUUCGGGUCCAUAGUUAUUAGCUAGAUGGCUUCUUCUCUCUUUUUGGAUCUCAAUACAAUGUUCUCCCCCUCUCUUGUGGAGAUCUAUUCGAUGUAAUCUUCUUUUGCGGUGUGUUUGUCGAGAUCCGAUGAAUUGUGGGUUUAUGAUCAAGAUUAUCUAUGAAAAAUAUUUGAAUCUCCUCUGAAUUCUUUUAUGUAUGAUUGGUUAUCUUUGCAAGUCUCUUCGAAUUAUCAGUUUGGUUUGGCCUACUAGAUUGAUAUUUCUUGCAAUGGGAGAAGUGCUUAGCUUUGGGAUCAAUCUUGCGGUGUCCUUUCCCAGUGAUAGUAGGGGCAGCAAGGCAUGUAUUGUAUUGUUGCCAUCAAGGAUAAAAAGAUGGGGUUUAUAUCAUAUUGCUUGAGUUUAUCCCUCUACAUCAUGUCAUCUUUCUUAAUGUGUUACUCUGUUCUUCAUGAACUUAAUACUCUAGAUGCAUGCUGGAUAGCGGUCGAUGUGUGGAGUAGUAGUAGUAGAUGCAGGCAUGAGUCGGUCUACUUGUCGCGGACGUGAUGCCUAUAUAUACAUGAUCAUACCUAGAUAUUCUCAUAACUAUGCUCAAUUCUAUCAAUUGCUCGACAGUAAUUUGUUUACCCAUCGCAAUACUUAUGCUAUUUUGAGAGAAGCCACUAGUGAAACCUAUGGCCCCCGGGUCUAUUUUCCAUCAUAUUAAUCUUCCAACACUUUGCUAUUUCUAUUUCCGUUUAUUUUACUUUGCAUCUUUAUCAUAAAAAUACCAAAAAUAUUAUCUUAUCAUCUCUAUCAGAUCUCACUCUCGUAAGUGAGUGUGAAGGGAUUGACUACCCCUUUAUCGCAUUGGUUGCGAGGUUCUUGUUUGUUUGGGUAGGUGCAUGGGACUCGCGCGUGGACUCCUACUGGAUUGAUACCUUGGUUCUCAAAACUAAGGGAAAUACUUACGCUACUUUGCUGCAUCAGCCUUUCCUCUUCAAGGGAAAACCAACGCAGUGCUCAAGAGGUAGCAAGAAGGAUUUUUGGCACCGUUGCGGGGAGUCUACGCACAAGUCAAGCCAUAUCAAGUAUCCAUCACAAACUCAUCUCCCUCGCAUUACAUUAUUUUCCAUUUGCCUCUCGUUUUCCUCUCCCCACUUCAACCUUGCCGUUUUAUUCGUCCUCUUUGCCGUUCGUCGCUUUCUUACUUGCCUUGUUAUUAUGGCUAGUCCUUUAUCUACUCCUUUGUCUCCCGAGAAUGAAGUUCUUAAUUUUAAGCAAAGGGAGGGAGAAAAUCUAAAAGAUGCUUGGUAUAGGAAUUGCAAUGCUCAAAAUAGAUCUACUAGGAAGCAAUCUACUUCCGUUCUUCUUUGCAACUUUUAUGUAGGCGAUACUCCUUGGUUCAAAUAUAUUCUUGAUACCAUUACCGGAGGGAAUUUCUUGGGUAGCCAUACUUUUUAUUCUUAUAAUGCUAUGAUAGAUUUGUUUCGCUCUCCACCUCUUUUGGUUAAUGGAACUAUGUUAACUUUGGAACAUGUGAUGCAAAGGCUUGAAAUUAUUGAAAAUAAAGUUGCUACUGUAGAAUUGAUUGAGAAUUUGGAUAAAAAGAUCCACAACCAAAUUACCCAAUAUGGAUCUAAGGUGGGAGUUGCUCUGAAAAGUUUUAAGGAAAAAGAACCCAUUGUUAAUGAAAGAAUAGAUCAAGAUUCCACUAGAAUCAAUAAACUUGAGGGAAUUAUCACGAAUUUGAGAUCCGCUUUUUCCUCUGUUAAGAAUACUCCAAAUCCUCCUACCAAAUUUGCCAAGCUUGUUUAUGUUCCUAAAAAUAAGGGUGAAUCCUCUAGUUUCAAUAAGUGUUCAUCCCAAUCUUUUUGCUAUCAUUAAGGAACCGUUUGCUACAAAUGAUUUUCUUGAUUUGGUGCCCAGGAGUUUGAUAAUUAAUCAUCAGAAAGAAACCACUAGGAGUGAUAGGUGUCUUGUUAAAGAAUUACCCCCAAAGAUGGCAAUACUUAGAUCUAUCCUUGCUUUUAUGCCUAGCUAGGGGUGUUAAACGAUAGCGCUAGUUGGGAGGCAACUCAAUUUUGUUUUAGUUUUUUUUGCUUUUUGCUUCUGUUUGCCGACCAAACCCCGCCACCCCGCCCACGAUCUGAUUCGUGCUUUCUGAUUGGCCAAAACCCAGACCCCACAGAUCAUACGUCUGCACCGUUGGAUGCUCCCAGAUCGAACGGCGAUCCUCAUCCCUUUCGACAACACAUGCAGUUCCGGUUGUAAUUUUAUUUUUAUACACUAAAUGCACGCUAAUCUCAAAAAAUGUCUUAAAUAUAGCUAACGAUAUCUGAAAUGCGCCAGAAAAUCAAACCCGUGGUAUAAUGGUGAUUGCAUACUGUGGAAAUUUUUAUGAGGCCAAACGAUGAAGUCACCGACCACAGGAGUUUGAAUUGACACAUCUCCUUUUGGAAAACCAUGAUCCUUCAUGUGAGAUGCUCCGGUUUGGAAGGAGCGGCCAUCAAAACUUGUGGCAAACUUUACCAAUUUUUUUCCACGGGGUCGUGAGAGCACGCCACAGGCACACAUCAAUUUUGAUGACGUCCGAACUCCAUCUGAAUUUUCUGUAAUUAAAAUACCAACUAGGCCUACGCCAGUGGCCGCACCUCGCGGCCGAAAUGUUUGAAACUUCUCUCCGCUUCUCGAACAAACGGAUGAAAACUCACAAAGCGACGCACAAAUGAUCUGUACACCUUUGCUAUGCAGCUUAUUGAAUUACUUUUUUAUCCCGUUGCAUUGCACGGGCCAUUUUCCUACUAAUAAUAAAGCACGGAUUGAGUUUGUAGGGUUCAUCAUCGCGUCCUUUUUACAGAAAGGUCCCUGUGAUUUUUAGUAUUUAACCCGCCAUCCCUACUUUAGUGAAUCUGGAAAAACGUUUCGAUUUUGCAAAUUAGCCCGUAUAUUUUGUAAUAAUUCCACCCGCGCUCCUCUAUUCAUCUUAUCCUAUGGCGGAGGUGGAAAGGGAGACAACUUCGGCUGGGCUCUCGUCGGAGAGCUCGUCGGCGCGGAAGUUGCAAGAGGUGGGCGAGGCGGCCGGACGCGGGCAGAGGAGAGACACGGAGAGGUGGAGGCGGAGGCGUGCAGGCGAGGCUUGAGGCGGCGGGGACAGCGAGCUUGCGCGCAACGGCGCAAGGAAGGAGUAAACGCGGAGGAAGACGGAGGCGCGACGGCCGGAGGAGGUUCAGGCGGCGAGGAAGGUGGCCGGAGCGGGGCGUGAAGGCACUGGAUCAGGCUGGGGCGCGAGGAUGCGCCUUUGUCCCGUGCGUGGCGGCGCACAGCGAAGAGCGAGGGGGGAGAUGAGGGGAACGAUCGAGCCGGACUGGGGGAGAUGGGGAUCGAGCACAUGCUCGCUGCGCUAGGGUUACAUGGAUCAGAUGGGCUGCGAGGUUGGGCCGGGCCACGCUCUGGGCAAAAGGGAGAGAUAAGAGAGUUGGCCGGCCUUUUCUCUAUAUUUUCCCACACAGAAUAUAGAACCACGUUCCCCUCAAAAAAGAACAAUAAAAGUAGAACAACGUAUCAGCUUCUACAUAAGAAUGAUUUAUUUGUGGGCCUCCCCAUGCGCCAUGGUAAAAUUUGCAUGAUUUGUUGCAUCAGCCAACUAAUUCACUAGCAUGAUUUCCAUCUUUUGAGGAAAGAUCGAUCAACUAAGUACAUACAUGGUCGCCCGCAUUAUGUUGUUUCCGGCUGACUAACUAGCAUGGCUAUCGAAGAGAAAUAAUCAAAACCUGCAUAUGUAUUUUGUUGUGUUCCAUCAGGCCACAUUAAGGUAGCAUCCGGAUGCCCAAUAGAUUUGUACUAUUCCAUAUUUAGUUUAGUUUUUUUUUUGCUAUUCUAAUAACCACGCAGGAGUACAGGGUGGAUACCGACGGAGAGGAGGGCCUUUUUAUAUGUAGAUUCUCCGUUGAUAAGGAAAAAAUGUUACAAAGAAGUAGUCACUUCAUAGGGAUGGUCUGAAAGGACGUCAACUUAUAGCCGAAUAUACAGGUGCUGACUCACUAUGGAUGAUCAUCCUUGGUUUUGAUAAUCAAUAAUUUAUUGUUACGAUUUACAACUUUUUUGGUGCCAAGUCAAAAUGCAUAAGGAACUCCGUUUCCAUGCUGUGGAACCCGUGCUAUCUCCUUACUAGACAACAAUACAUUACCAAGUAUUUUGCUUCCGACCACACUCCAUCUUGCCGCGUGUGCAUCUUUAGCGAUGUUGUCCCAUUGCUGCUCACUAUGUCACCGCCAUUGUGGCACUGCACAUCCUCUCCUACGUACAAAGGGAAGGAGGAACACCGGAUCACAUCUUGCCGUGUCAUGUCCUGCCUUUGCAACCUUCCCAUUCACUUCAUAGACGAUGAACCUUCCAUCUCCGGUGAUCUACCACGACCCGGCUCCUUGACCCGACCAACUCUAAUUCAUGGCGUUGUGUAAAAAGAGUAGGAGUAUGAGGGGAGGUGUAUGGCUUGGGUGCAAGGAGUAGCUCGCGAAGGGCGGCCCACAUGUCUAGCUUGCUGAGAUUAGCUAUUAAAAAAUUGAACAUUUGCUUGCGUGGACACAAUGACAUGUGUGAUAUACGCUGGCGAGCUCAUCGCCUCAGCAUUGACAAUAUUUGGACGUGUUGUAACCAGAUGGACAUCAUGGUCACCGUGCGGGUGGGAAGGAGAAUAAGCGGCGACACCAUAUAUUUUUCUUUCCCGUUGCAACGCACGGGCAUGUUUGCUAGUCUAUCCCUAAUAAUAAUAAUAAUAAAGCACGGAUUGACUCUGUGGGUUCACCGUCACAAUACGCUUCUUCCCGUGAAUUUACGCUUUCAGGUUUUUCACCUAUAUUAUUUUCUACAUCUGAGGUGGUACUAUUUAUGUGAUCAUGUGGCCCACCGUUAACAUGAUUUUCGUCCGUCCGUCGUUAACAUGAUUUUUCAUUGAGAUUUUCGUCCAUCGUCGCUGGCCAACUCAGCCGGCCCACCAUACCUACCUAUUAUGGCAUUCCCAUAGCCAUUCCGAGAUAUAUUGCCAUGCAACUUUCCAUCAUUUCGUUUAUGACACGCUUCAUCAUUGUCAUAUUGCUUAGCAUGAUCAUGUAGUUGACAUCGUAUUUGUGGCAAAGCCACCAUCCAUAAUUUUUUCAUACAUGUCACUCAUGGUUCAUUGCAUAUCCCGGUACACCGCCGGAGGCAUACACAUAGGGUCAUAUUUUGUUCUAAGUAUCGAGUCUAAUUCUUGAGUUGUAAGUAAAUAAAAGUGUGAUGAUCAUCAUUAUUAGAAUAUUGUCCCAUGUGAGGAAAGGAUGAUGGAAACGAUGAUUCCCCCAUAAGUCGAGAUGAGAUUCCGGACUAAAUAAAAAAAGAGGCCAAAAAAAGAGAAAAGACCCAAGAAAAAAAAUGAGAGAAAAAGAGAUAAGGGACAAUGUUACUAUCCUUUUACCACACUUGUGCUUCAAGGUAGCACCAAGAUCUUCAUGAUAGAAAGUCUCCUAUGAUAUCACUUUCAUUUACUAGUGGGAAUUUUUCAUUAUAGAAUUUGGCUUGUAUAUUCCAAUGAAGGGCUUCCUCAAAUUGCCCUAGGUCUUCCUGAGCAAGCAAGUUGGAUGCACACCCACUUAGUUUCUUUCGUUGAGCUUUCAUACACUUAUAGCUCUAGUGCAUCCGUUGCAUGGCAAUCCCUACUCACUCACAUUGAUAUCUAUUAAUGGGCAUCUCCAUAGCCCGUUGAUACGCCUAGUUGAUGUGAGACUAUCUUCUCCCUUUUUGUCUUCUCCACAACCACCAUAUUCUAUUCCACAUUGUGAUGCCCGGAUAAUUAGGCUAUAGUAAUCACACGUUAAUGAUGCCACAUCACCACGAUUACUGUUGUUAAUCUCGCGUUAGUGCAGAACCGAUCCAAAUUCAAAUUCGAAUUAAAGUCAAGCAAUAAAAGUUUUCGAUACUCAAAACUAAAAUGUUCUUAUUGUGACAAAUAAAUCAUGGAUAGUAUUGGUGGAGAAAUAACAUUUUUAUAAAAUAAUUAAUUACUCUAAAGUGAUUAAAACAGAACAAAAACAAUUAAGUGAAUACCUUUUUCAAUUAAUAAAAUUCUAAACUAAUUUAUUUCAGGGUAAAACAUUUAUGGCGGUGGGUGGUUCUCAAACAUUAAUUUAAUAGUUGUUAUCAUUUUUUUAAAGUAAAAAUAAUGUGUAUCUAAAAUAAAACAGAACAGAAAA